UUUUUUUUUUGUGAUUUUAACCCUCAUGAUUUUUUCAUAUAUAUUACUUUCAGUUUUAUAACCCUGGUCACCAUUUAAAAAGUUAACAUUAAUUGACUUUUUUGUCUUAUUUUUUUUAUAUUUAUUUUUUUUAUUUUUCUUUCUAUGAAAUUAUCCUAAUUAAUUUAAUUUUUAUUUUGUUAACAAAUAAAAUCAUUGAAACGUUUUGAGAAUAUUGUGAAGAUAUAUUUCUAUAAUAUUAGCAAGUAUUCAUAUAUAUAUAUUGAAUUGUUAUUGUUUUUUCGUUUUAUUUGUUGUCGAUAUCUUAUUUUCUAAUGAUAUUAUUAAAUUAACCGAGUUUAUUAAAUUCAUUUGAGCCAAUUACCUGAAUAUUAUAUUUUUUUAAUUUAAAAAAAAUAUUUACUUUUAUUAUAUAUUUUUUAUACUAAAAAAAAAAUUGACUCUAUGAGUCACCUAACUAGUACAUACACUUAAAUUUAUGUGCUUGUGAUACCCUACAUGCAAGAAUAUUUUUUUUAUUAGUAAAAAAAUUUGUCAGCAAUGCAAGCAUUUUCUUAAAGAAGUAAAAAAAAGAAUAAACUAACCAUCUAGAUGGUGGUCCAGUGGUAAAAGCUUGGGACCAAGAGGUUUGCUCCCUCUGUGGUCUUAGGUUCAAGCCAUGUGGUUGCUCAUAUGAUGGCCACUGGAGGUUUACAUGGUCGUUAACUUCAGGGCUCGUGGGAUUAGUCGAGGUGCGCGCAAGCUGGCCCGAAUAUUCACGUUAAAUUAAAAAAAACAAAACAAACAUCUUGAGGCAUAGACUCAUCUUAAAAUGCUCGUAUAAUUUAAUUACAAUAAAUGGAUCAACUUAAAUAAAAAAAUAAUCAUGGUAACAUUAAAAAAAAGGGUAAAAAAAAAAAUCAUGGUAUACUAUCAGUAAAAUUUAAACGCUGGUUGCUAGGGACAGUCAAACCUGUUUGAUCUGUGCUAUGCAUGGCCCACAUGCUCCCACAAAAUGCUAGCACACAAGGACAACGAGACGUUCCCUAGGGCGUGUUCUCGUAGUGCCAAUUUGGCGUGACGGUGUCGGCAGUCAUAUUCUCUUACAAUGGCCCAGCUCCAGUUCAUAGGCAAGGAGUUUUUUUGUUGUGUGUUAAGAUCCAUGGACAUUUUUAUUUGAUUUGGUGAUCGUGAUUCAAUUUUAUGAAACGAUGCCGUGUGAGUGGUUUUAAGAUUUAGAGGGUGUUUGAGAGGGUAAUAACGGUUGCGCUUUAAAAUAUAUUUUACUUGAAAAUACAUCUAAAUAAUAUUUUUUAAUUUUUUAAAAAUUAUUUUUGUCAUUAGCACAUCAAAACGAUAUGAAAAUAUUAAAAAAAAUAAUUAAAUAAAAAAAGAAAUUUUUUUAAAUUUUUAAAAUACACAAUUUCAACCGCGUUUCAAAACAGUGCUGUAGUUUGUGUUUAGGAAUGCAAAAGUUACCUCUCAUUUGUUUUUAUGAACUUGAAUCAUAAUUAAAUCUAAAGCAAACUGAUUUAAGAACUUGGGCUUGAGGAUUGAUGACUAGAAAUAUACAAGAUUUAUACUUUGUAGGUCUAGAAGCACAAAGAAAAUCCAAAGCAGUUUCUGUUGGAGGUUUUCCGAGUGAGUAUUCAAUUUUUGAGAAAGUCUAAGUUUUACUCUCUCUUUUCGUUGUAUAAUUUAUUUCAUUUUUGUCCUAUUUCUUUUCAUCGGUUAGUCAUGAAUGAGGUAGGUAUAUCAUUUGUUAGAACAUAGGGUGAAUCCACCGUGGACUCGCAUGAAUAUUUGGGGGGUGUGUGUGUGUCUAUAUAUAUAUAUAUAUAUAUAUAUAUAUGAAAAAGAAAAAAAUAUAUAUAUAUAUAUAUAUAUAUAUAUAUAUAUAUAUAUAUAUAUAUAUGAAAAAGAAAAGAAGAAGAUAAAUAUGUAUUGCAUACUCGCUUUUCAGAGUGUAUGCCCACAAUCUAAUUCUAAGUAAAGCUGUCAAGAAAAACGCGAGAGACCCACAAAUAAAUCCAAAAUUAUACCUAAUUUUUUUUUAGAAUUUUUUGAUAUUUUAAAAAACUUGUUUGGCUAGAUAUCGAAAGUAAAGAAAAGUUAAAAAAGAAAAAGAGCAUAAGGGUGUGUUUUGUCAAACACACCCUUAGCCUAAAGAGAAUGGACCAGCUGGGUCUGAGGCCCAGCCCGGUCUCAAUAGUUCUUCUUCCUUUUUUUAUAGGCUGGAUCUAGCCUAGCCAUAUGGACAGGGCUUGAUCCAGCCGGCCUAGCUUAGUCAUUGGCUAGACUAGUGACCUGGCUUGCCAUAGCAGCAGGCAUGCGUGAAUUACUCACGCAUGCUUGCAACAAUGACAGGGUAAUUAUGAUUGCAAAACAGGGGAAAAGAAGAACUUACCUACUUUAGUCAUUGUUGGAGAUGAAGACUUUAAGGCGAUGUUGGUUUGGACAACGCUCCUUUCUUCCUCUCUGUUUUUGUCUGUUUCUCUAUGGUCGUCCUUCUAUCUGAUUUUUCUAUUUUUUUGUGUUUGUUGGCUCUCUCUGUAUGAUCUUUCCUCUGUUUUUUUUCUUUCGUUUCUAGUCACCCCAGGUUCUCUGUUUUUUCCUACGCCUAUGCUUUUAUAAGCCUUCUUAGGGAAAUUCGAUCCUUAUCUCCUUGAGAUCGUGAUCUUGCGUGGAGAUAACUUUAGCUCCAUGAUUGGUGGGAUUAGGACACCAACAGUCUUGCCAUUGCUAGACUGUUAGUGAUGGCUUCCUUAAUGUUUAAUGGCACAUUGUGGGGUGAAGAAGGAAUGAAAAGAUGGGAUCACUAUGGUUGUGUUGAUGGGUCUAACAGAAGCCACCAUCAUUUUUCGUUCCUUUUCUCUCUUUUGCAAGUGAGUUCCUCUAUUCCAAGGAGGAAGAGGAUGAACAGUCUUCCUUGGAAUGACGUCGUUUCUUCGGAUGAAAUGGGCAUCUUCAUUUUGCUCCAUGAAGUUCUGACAUUUAGCAAUUGAGCCCUUAAUCAUGAAAAUCUUCUUCUUCUUUUUUUAAUGUCGCCCCUGGAUCAAUUGCAAUUGGACCCCUAGAUUCCAACGCCAUUUACAAAAUAGUACUUGGUUUCAAAUUUAAUUAAUUCAGUUCUUAAUUGACUCCUCAACUUUUAAUUCUUUCAUAAAAAACACCUGAAAAAAUCAAUUAACCCCCUAUAGUAUCAAUGUUUAUCAACUUUGGUCCCUAUAAUUUAAGUUCUUGCAAUUUUAACUCAAAUUGACCCUGAACUUUGAUAUUUCUUUAAUUAAGCCUCUGGUUGCAUUAAUUAAACUAUUUCAAAGUUUAAUUAAGUCCCUAAACUUAUCAAUUCUCCUAAUUUUUUGCCAAAUUGACUUCCAAUUUUAUAAUUUCAUUCUUAUUAGUCCUCCAAAUUUUAAUUUGUGUUAUCUUGACCCAAUCCUCAAAUCAUUUUUCAUUUAUUUUUUUAUUAAUAUUUUUUCUUAGAAAUUCAAGAAUUAGUUUAUGACAACAUUUAUAACCAUAAUUUAACUUUUACAAUAUGAUGAUAUCUGAUUGUAAAGGAAAUUUUAAGUUUGAUGCAAUUUAUUUUUUAUUUUUUUUCUUAAGUAUGAGGUAAAAAUUGUAAGUAUGAUGCAAUUUUGAUUCUAAAGGACUUAAUGGGGAAAUUAUUUGUUUUCUUUGUUAUUUUUAUUCCUAUUCAGUUUAGAAAAAUAUUUUUCUGUAUGGUGUUUUUUUUUUAUUUAGUUUAGAAAAUCAAAUAUUGAGCUUGAUAAUUUUAUUUUUCUUAUUUAGUUUAGGAAUCCCUGUAAUAACUCUAUAACUAUUUCUUAUGAUUCUUUUUCCUCUUCAAAAUAGACCUAUCACUAGUAUAAACAAAGUUUUUUAGCUUGUAUUUCAGUAGACUAUUUGAAGAGAAAAGAUAUAGUAAUAAAAUUUUAGAUUUGUGUGGUGACCCUACUCGGCUUAAUUUUGUUGAUUGUGUUUGUUGUUUUUCUUGCAUUAUUUAUGUUUGCAUCAAUUGGUAUCAAAGCCUAAUUGUUCUUGGUGGUUAGUUGUUGUGAGUUGUUGAAUAACCAUGAAUGGAAGAUGUCGCAAAACAAGAUGUGCUCAUGUAAAAGGAGACAUGGAUGUCUCCUAGAAAAGAGAUGUUCAAGAAUAGAUAAUAAAAUACAUGUAGAGACAAAUCACAAAAUUGCACCGUGAAUUGAUAAAGGUCCUAACUUGAAGGAUUUUAAGGAGAGUGAUCAUAGAUUCAUAAUCAACUUCGAAACCCCAUUUUAAAGGCGAGAGUAUAGGAGGCAACCUCUUGAUCAUGAUGGAUAUGAUAUUGAAACUGAAACUUUUGAUGAUCCUAAUUCUUUUAUGAAUUGGAAUCAACCAUCAAUUUAUGAUAUUUAUAUUGAUGGUGAUUAUAUUGAUUGUCGCACCCGACAUCACGACGACCUUAAAAAUCAAAAUAAAGAACUAAUUUUUGACAUCCUGUUCUUAAAUAGGAAAAAUGUCUUGUUUAAAGAGUUGUCACAUAGUAUUAUGGUCACUAGGAAUCCUAACUCGUCAACAGAGAUUCUAUGGUAUGAGACUGGUCACGCAAAAUGAAAAAUAUUAUCACCCCUUAAGCGUCCUGCCUAAGGCAGACUGCAUUGCUGGUUUUGUCUUAAAUUGCUAAGAGUUUGUUGGUUUAUACUAUGAUGGUCUACUUGUAAUAUUCCAGACUCUGACGUCAGUGAAUAUUGAACUAUGGAUACUUCCAACUCUGGCGUUGGUAAAUAUUACGUAGUAAAAAAAAGAACAUAUGGUAUUUCUGGCGCUGAUGUUAGUGAAUAAACCAAUAAAAUGAAUUUAAAUCAAUGCAUACGUAUUUUGUUUCUAUUUUUCUCUAAAAAAAGUAUCAUACACCAGAUUUGUACUUCACAGUAAAAAUCCACAUAUUAAAUAUACAGUGAAAUACCUAAAAAAACACGAGUGACCUACAAAUAAAUUUAAAAAGGUCCAUGAAAUUUUUUGGAAUUUUCUGAUAUAAAAAAUACCUGUUUUGCUAGAUAUCAAAAUAAAAAAAGGUGAAAAUAAAAGGGUAAAGAAUAAGGGUGUGUCUUGCAAAACAUAUCCUUGACCCAAAACAAAUUGGUCUGGAUGGGUCUUCAGCCCGAUCUCAGCUUUUUCUAUUGUUUUGGGCUGGGUCCAAGCUGUCCGGCCUGAUCUGGAUCCAGCCAGCCCGGCCUGGUCUGGACCCAGUUACUAACCUAAGCCAGUAACCCGAGUAGGCAAAGCAGCAGGCAUGCAUGAAAUGUUCAUGCACGCUUGCUAAGAAGGGUUAAUUAUAAAUGAAGAUACACGGUGCUUAUGUAAUUAAAAUGCUCAGAGGGUAGCUAAACUUUUUAAGCCUGGGUUUGCUCCAGAGUUGAUUAGUUUGAUUACUAUAGAUUUUAGAGUUAUUGAAGAUUUACAUCAUUAUUAAUUUUAGUAUCUUAAGGGAUUCUACAUAAACUGAUCCGCAUACUCAUUAUAAAAAAAAAAAAACGAAGCAAAGGGGAGGAAAAUGUAGAACUCACGUACCUGGAGAUGCUUGGGGAUGAAGACGGCGAAGGAAGGCUGGCCAACUGCUUUCUCCUCCUCUGUUUUUUCUUGUUCCUUCUCAUUCUUUCUGCUGUUAUCUCUGUCUCUCUCUGUGUUCGGUUUUUUUUUUGUUCUGUUUCUGUGCUUCUUCUGUGUUAUAUCCUCUCUGCGUUUUCUACUUUCGCUCCCUUUGGUCUUUCUUUUCGUUUGUUCUCGGCUCCUGUAUUUUUUAGUCUUCGUCUCCUGUUCGUCUGAGCUUGCUCCCGAUUGCUGGAGUUUUGAAGGAAAUUCUACAGUCCCUCUCCUCUGUUUCACUCUGCCUCUGGUUUUCUCUCUUCAUGCCUCCUCUGUCUUUCUUUCUUUUUUCCCUCUGGUAUUCUUCUGUUCGUUCGUUUGUUGUUUGUUUCCCCGGUUUCCUCUAUCUCACCUUGCGCCUCUGCUCUCUCUCUCUCUCUCUCUCUCUCUCUCUUUGUCUCUAUCCCCACUUUCGUUCACCUGUUGUGUUCGUAUUUAUAGGCAAGAGAACGCCCUUGCACCUCUCAGAGUGGUGAUCAUUCAGCUGCUGGGAUAACAUCCAUUAUUGGACUAUUAAUGGCACAUUGUGGGGGAAAGAAGUUACCACGUUCUCUGCCAUUUCCGCUGAAUCGGGAUGAAGGAGAUGAACAGUUUGCUUUGAAACGGCGCCGUUUUAAUUACAAGUUUACUAUUAACACAAAUGUAGAUUUUUUUAAGGGUUAUUUGGAUACAACACAAUGUUGAUAAAGCAAGUUGAAGAUUUACAAUUCAUUACUAUAAAAGUCAAUGGAAGAGAAAUAAUUUAUCAAUUGUUGUUGUUUAUAUAAAUUUUAACAUGAAAAGAUUAAAAUUGAUAUCUAAAAUUAUUAUACAUCUAAAAUUAAAAAUAAUAAGGGGUUAAAAAAUCUUGAUUAGAUAUUUAUGAGAUCAAUGAAAUAACAAUUUAAACUCGAGGAUUAGUUAUUUCUAACAUAGAAAGAUUGAUGUUAGAGGUUUUUUAGAGAAAAUUAUCUGUUUCCUUAGUUUUAUUUCUAUUUAGUUUAAGGAAUCAAAUAUUAUGCUUAGAAAUUUUAUUUUCUAUUUAAUUUAUAAAUCUCUAUAAUUAUUUAUUAGAUUUUCUCUCUCUUCAAAAUAGACCUAAAAUUUUUAAUUUAGAAUUUUUGCCUGGUUACUUUAUUUAACAAAGUUAUGUUGCUUGUUAUCGUUUUUGUGUUAUUUUAUAUGCGUUAAAUUUAUUUUUUAAUUUUUUAAAUUGUGUUAUUUAAUAGUUUUAUAUACUUAAAAAAACUAUUUAAUGUUUUGAUUAUUUUUCUUUGUUUUUUUUUUACUUAUUAUUUUUAUAAUAUUUAUGUGUUUUCAAAGAAAUAACUCAUUUAUUAAGCAAUUUAUUUAGUUUAUUAAAUAAGUUGUUUAAUUUUCUAAGAAGAUAUUUAAUUUAAGUUAUGUAAUUAAUAAAUAUUUUGACACAAACAGUAGAAUAAUAGAUUACGACACAUGCGAUUUCAUUCAUUAUCAAAUAAUUGAGAUAUUUAAUCUCAUAAUAUAAUACAGCAGGAAUUGCACAGACAACAUAGGAGUCAGUCUUCAAAUAAACCAGGUCCUGCACGGAAGUCUUCAAUUCUAAUUUGUCGCCACAGCUUCUACAAUUCUAAGAAAAGUUGAUUUGUCUUAAUCUAUGUUUAGUCCCUUGAAUUGCUUGAAUAAUUGGAUUUGGUCCCUAAACAAUAAAAUAAAAAAGACUUAUUAUUGUUACAAAUCUGUGAAGCUUAUGACAUAGGAAGCAUCUUUCCUUGCUGUAAGUUUAGAACCCUAGUACUGCAGAUUGGCAUUUUCCUCGAAAAAUCAUCUAGCAGCAAUAGCAUGCCCUACAUUCCACUCACCCUAUUUAGUAAUACUAUAACAAGAUUAUUUUAAUUUCUUUGAAGAUCAAGUCAGAGCUCAGUGUGAAUAAUAUCCUCAGUACUGGUUUCAGAAAGCUCAGAAAUUUUCAUCUGAUCAAUGACAUUACAGUUUUUGGCAUGGGAACUUAGGCAGUCGGCUGAGGGAUGCACGACACCAUACCCAAAGCCUUGUGCAGAGUUGCAAUAGGUCUCCUCUGUGCCAUCAUUCUUCUCUAAGUUGAUGUUGCUCAACACUAUGUUGCUGCAAGGAACAGUAUCACUGCAUGCAAAUUUCAUGGCCUUUGAACUUUUUGUAGUACCACUUAUAUUCCGGUAUGUUAUCUCACUUAUUUCAACAGCUGAUGUCUAAAGAGAAAGAACGGCAGAAAAAAAAAAAAAACGGAGAUUCUGGUCAGAUGGUUGGCAGUUAGCCUAUUGUAACAAAUAUAUUACUACAAGAUAUGGUAAAAUGGAAAAUGGCAGAAUUACCUGGUUAUGGCAUGUUUUUGGAGAAUCACAGUAGAACUGAUCAAUAAUGACGGGGUUUGCAACAUUCUCCAUUCCCACAUUCUCGAAGCGUACCCCACGGACAUAACCAUGACCACCCUGCAACAGAAAACUGGAAUGAUCACUUGGACAUUUAAAAGCACAGCCUAUAUAGUAAGAUUUGGAACAUGUUUAAGAAAAACAGCACUCGAAGCCUCUAGAGUCUGAACAGUACAGUUCAUCAUCAUGCAAAGUAUUACCUGCCAAGUUUUAAUUCUGAGGCCAUUUGUUGUCUCCCGAAGGAAUGCUGUAUCCAAGACUACUUUUGUUACCAUGCCAGUGGAGUUGUCCUUCCCAAGACUUCCAAUGCUGAUUAGCAGAAACAUUUGCGCAAAAGAAUUGGUUCAUAAUAAAAUAAGAAACUCAUUCCUAGUUGUUGUAAACACUUAGUGGACAUUAACAAUUCAAUUGAACCUUGAGCUGUAGGACUUCACAGUAAAUAUACCUGAUUCCAUGUCCUGGUCCACAAAAAAUUCUCUUCAUCUUGAUAUUGGAGCUACCGUUCACGAUUGAGACACAAUCAUCACCUGUAUAUUGAAGUAGAAUCAACACAACGACCUGUUAGUAAGUGUGCCUAUAACACCAGUAUACUUGCUACCAUGAAACUUGUUUCACUUGGGAACGUAGUCUUGAAUUCUAAGUUUCUCCAUUGAUGCAUCAUGAUUAAUUUCUUUCAUUGUUUUACUUGUCUUGUGGUUUGUUUUUAUCAUUUUUAAGACAAAUGCUUAAAAAACAAACGAAUAUGAGCUCUCUCCCCUUUAAAUCUCAUUUUCUUAUACUCAGAAAAUGGAAGAGGAAGAAAAGAAUGAUGAUAAGGUUUUCAAACCUGUUCCAAUUUUGCAGUCCUGGAGAACAACAUUAGUUGAUCCAGUAAUAUGAAUUCCAUCAGUGUUGGGACUAUCUUCUGGAGCUGAGACUAACACAUCAGAAACCCGCACAGAAUCAGAAUGGGAAAUCACAAAGUGCAUCUGUUGGCUGUUUUGGAUAGUAAGGCCGUUAAUCUUUACAGCUGAGCUUGAAUCAAUAGUUAAUGCCUGCAAAAUCCUUGUCUGUUAGUUCCAACAGUGUACAUUUGGCAGUUCUAUUUGAUGUUUUGGAUAUGUUUCUCAAACACUGGUGAAUGUAAUGAAGAAACAGAUGCUUACUGUUGGUGCUCCUCUGCAAGGCUGUAAAGUACAGAAAGAGAAAUAUGUGUUACAUUUUACUCUUGGAAUAGCAACACACUAGUAGGGGUAAAUCUAGAUAGAGUUUAGAAGAAUUACAUUUGACUUGUUCUUUUUGCAGGAUGAUGCCCACCAUUUGCUUCCCGAGCCAUCAAUUACUCCGUUCCCUUGGAAGAGAACUCCAUUCAAUUUAGAGAAGUAUAGCCAAAGUCGAGGAAGAUUUGGAUCCCAAUUCUUAGGCUCAUCAGGUGCCACUAUUGUUCCAUCUAUCUGCAAAUGCAUAAUGAAGAUGGAAUGUUUGAUGAUGGGGAUAUAUGCAUAUUACUAUCACAUUGGAAAAGUGCCAACAAUAAUUCAUAGCAAUAAAUGACAACGCUAAUCUCUGCUGAAGUAUAUGGUCUUGGUCAACUCAAUUUGAUACAGCCUUCCAAAUUACCUGGAUGACCAACCUAUCAGCACAAGGCCCCUUAAAUCUCGUUGCAUUAACCAUAUAAUGCCGUCCUGGAGGAACCAAGAAAACUGAUUUUGGUGUAGUACAGGCUGUGUUCCAAGCUUUUUCAAAGGCCUGGUGAUAUAACAACACGAAAUAAAGCCAGUUUGAUAAUCAGCAUCAAGACUACUUUGAACAAAGAAAGAAUCAUAAAAGUUGACAGAAAGGGAAAUAUUGUAUGCUUCAAAUGGUAUUGCAUAAGCUCCAGGCUAGCUGGUUCUUUAAAGGUGAGCUAUCGGUGAUCAAUUUUGGAGUUGACUUGUGAAGCUUAACCACCAAGGAAAACCAAAUACUAAAAAGUUUAUGAAGUUAUUUCAAGAAAACAGAACGCACCUGAGUGUCAUCAGAAACCCCAUCUCCAAUAGCACCAAAGCUAUCAACAUUGACAAGAACCUUGCCCCCACGUUCACUUGUCCAUGAUGGAACAACCUUGGAAAACUCUGUCUCAUCUACUUCUUCUAUGACAAAGUUUUCAAGCUUCUCAAGCAUGGCAAUGCUGUCACAUGCCAUGUUUCCUGCAACUCCGUGAGCCACUAUCAGCAAACCAAGAAUGGAAAUGAAGAAGAAUUUAUCCAUUAUAUUGUCAGUUCUUUAUGUUUCGCAACACUAAUUGAUUUAUGCAAGUCCUUGUGAACAUUAGGUGAUUAUUUAUAUGUGGAGAUUAGAUAACGAAAUCUGGAGCUUUGUGGGCUCUAUGGCUUGGCUUAAAAGCACAUUAACAAGCACGAAUUUCUACACCCCCACACUUAAAGUACAAGGAAUUUUUUUUUAAACUACUUUGCUUUACUCAACAAAUACACAGACCAUUCCAAGUGUUCAUAGACUCUGCCUUUGGCUUCUGUUCUCUCUUUGAAGACGUAAAUUAAAUGUUUACUGCAAAAGUAUACAAUGAGGCAGAGAAACAAUGCAAAAUACUUUAAGCUAUGAAGAAAUCGACUGUUUUGUUGGACCAAACAGGGCAGCCAAAAAGCUUAUGGUGACUUCCCACUACAUGCACAUUAAACGCUUCAAGCAAAAGAAAACUUUACAUAGAUAUUUUAUGUAGUGUACACUUGACAAGAAGGGAUUUUGUGAAAAGAAAGUUCAAUUUCUGUCUACUGUCAGAGGCGAUGCCUGAUGUCUUCAGUUUUCUUAUUUUGGACAGAGCUCCAAUCUAUAUGGGGAUUGUUCACCUCAAUAAAACUGCGACCAAUCUCCCUUGUCAACUUUCUUGCUAUAGCAAGCUCUCUAAUGUGCAUUGAGGAUUCGUAUUCCCCAAUGUCAGAAUAGAAGUUUGAUACUUGCAAAUACACUGAAAAAUCUUCUGGGUCAAGCUCUAACAAUGCCUUCGCUGCUCUUCUUCCUACAAUUUCAUUCCUAUAGAUCCUACAGCUUCGCAGUAAUGAGGUCCACAUCACACAAUCACCUCUUCCAGGUGCCUUUUGCGUCAACUCUUCAGCUUCAUCAAGCAAACCUGCACGCCCCAAGAUAUCAACCAUACAGGAAAAAUGUUCCUUUGCUGGACAGAUCCCAUACUGGGCUUUCAUUGAAUAAAAAAUCAAUCUUCCUUCUUCAAACAACCCAGAAUGACUGCAUCCAGUUAAAACACACAAGAAUGUCACUUUAUCAGGUUCCAAACCCUUUCGGAUCAUUGCUUCAAAUGUCUGAAGGCAUUCUCUCCCCAACCCAUUCUGUGCAAGCCCAUUGAUAAUUGACGUAAAACAGAUUACAUUUGGUGAAGGAAGUUGUUCGAAAACCUUUUUUGAAAGUUGAACAUGACCACACCUUGAAUAUGCAUCAAUCAACGAACAUGAAACUGCAAUAUCGGAUCCGAAACCUAAUUUCAUUGCACAACAGUGCACCAAUCUGCAGCUGUCCAUACUUGCAAAUUCAGAAACUGAUAAUGCUUUCAGUGUUGUGGAAAAUGUAACCUCAUCAAGUCCAAUUCCUUCAUCAACCAUCAAACCAUACAUCUCAACUACAUCAUAAACAAUACCACAGUGCAGCAAAGAGGUCAUUAAAGAAUUGCAAAUCUGUGUAGUUUUCUUGGGAACACUUUCAAAAGCGGACACUGAACUCUCAAUGUACCUGCAUUUCCCAUACAUGUCAAUCAACGCAGAUUGUACAUGAAAACUUCCAAUGUCAAAACCCAUCUUCAAGACACAACAAUGAAUCUGCUUCCCAAACAAAAUAUUACCAUUCAAGCUUGACAAAUGCAAUAGUGCAACAAAUGAACGAAUUGAUGGCUUUCCCCAAAACUGCAUCAAAUAAAACAACUCAACAGCUUCAAAUAAUAAGCCACAGUCAGCAUAAACUGACACUAUUGAAUUCCACGAAAUGACAUCCUCCACCUUAAUGGACUCAAAUGAUUUCCUUGCAUCAUUCAAACUCUUACAAGCAGAAUAAAAAUCCACUAAAGCAUUAGCAACAAAAAUAUUUGAUCUCGCCCAUCCAACUUUAAUAAUAUGACAAUGCAGCUGCUUCCCUUCAUAAAAAAACUUUUCAUUACGGCACCCUCGAAUCAAAUAACAAAAACUAAGUCCAUUCGGAUGUACACCAUCCAAUUUCAUCUCAUGAUACACUCUUAAUAAUUCAUGGAACCGACCCAGUUCACAGAAACCGCGUAAAACCAAAUUCCAAGUAGCCAAAUUUCUCUCAGGCAUUUCAUCAAACAAACUAAAACCCAAAUCAAAACAUCCCAUCUGCAUAUAAAAACCAACAAGUGAAGUUCUAAUGAACAAAUUGGAGCCACACCCAAGUUUAAUAAUCCUGCAAUGAACUUGAAUUCCUUGUCUUAAAAACCCAUCUUGGCUGCUGCAUAUACUUAAAACAGAAGAAAAAGUUGAUGGGCUUUCUUUAAUUCCUAAGGAAACCAUUUCAUAGUAAUAGUAAAGAGCUUGUUUUGGUAUUCCGUAUUUUCCAAGCCCGGAAACCAUCAAGUUAUAUGUAACAACAUCACACAUGGACAUUUCAUCGAAUAGUUUUUGAGCAAGGGUAACGUUCCCUGAUUUUAUGUAGCUGUCAAGUGUUCUGUUUUUGGCGUAAAUGGUGUCGUUUAUGUGAGGUUGGAGGUAAGAUUCUAAGACCAGUGAUGAUGAUGAGGUUGUUGUUGUCGUCGUCGCCGCCGCCGCCGCCGAUGACAGCACUGGUCGGUGUAUUUUUUCUGUACGGACAAGAUGCAGUCUUAAUUUGGAAUUGGUGGAUUUCAUUUGCAUGCUCGAGCAUGUGCGUGCCUCUUUAGAAGUUAGAUAGGACUUGGGAUAGGAAUGAAUGGGUGGGUUUAAAAUAACUUUCACAUCUUCACUCAUCUAAUUAUUAUAAUAUUUAAUUUGAAUUUUUUAAUUAAUAAAUAAAUUGAAUUUAUAUAUUAAAAAAUAAAAUAAAAUUCAUUUUAUUUUAUAUAUUAUUCUCAUUACCUUCAUUUUAUUUCUUUAAAGUUUUUUUUUAAAAAAGCUAGAUGUUUAAAAAAAUUAAUUUUAAUAUUAAAUUUCUUCUUUUUGGAAUUGUAAAUUAAAAGAGGUGACCUCUUAUUCACUUUUGUAGCAUUUUUAGAGAUUAAAUUUUAUUUGAAAUUCAAUUCUAAACACUUAAGUGAUUUCCAAACAUAAGAUUUUAUUAAAAUCUAUUCAUUAAAUUCAUUUUAAAAGGUUCCAAAUAUGUUGAUAGUUAUUAGAUCUAGAAGCUAAAUUGAGACCUAAAUUGUGAAUUUGUUGGGUCAAUCCAAGUCUAUUUUAAUUUUGAACAAAGAAAGCAUGUCAUUUUGAACAAAACUUUUUAAAAAGUUAUCUUACAAUUGACCUUCUCAUAUCUCAACCAAGUGUGGUCAAGUCAAUUGAAUUAUGAAUUGACUAAAUAGGUCAUUUAUGUUUUAAUGAAUCAACUUUCAAAAUUGUUAAAAAAUCUCAACUUGACCCAGGAUCUAUAUAUUGGGUUUCCCGAAACACAUAUACGCAGCAAAAACAAUAAACUUAAGAUCUUGUUAGAUAGAUCUAGAGUUGUUUAGGGAUUAUACGAAAAUUACCUAAAAAUCAUAUAUUCCUUUUGGUUUUGAAUAAUUGCUUCAAGACUGAGUUACCGCAAACCACAAGUCAACCAAGUGUCUGAUCUCUAGCGGUAAUGAUUGUUAUGCCUUUGAGUAAUAACUCUUUUGUUCUGUGUUUUUUAGGUGUUUUGUAGUGUACUACAUAGAAAACUUGAAAACCCUAUAAAUGACAAGACAUCAAUUUGCUUCUGAACAAUAUCAUAUAUAUUAUUUUAGAAAAAUUUUAAAAAUUUAUUUAAUCAAGUCUCUACUUAUUAGGGAACCUAAUAAGUCAUAUGUAUAAUUUACUAUAUAAAUUACAUUCUAGUUCUUAGUGUCUAAAACUUAUUCACAAUCAAGUCACACUUGAUUAAUUAUUUUAGUUUAAUUUAUGACCAAUGGUUUUUAUGUAUAUGACCUAUUAGGUUCCCUAAUAAGUUGGCCCAAAUAUAAAUCACAACCUAAAUAAAAUAGGAUUAAAUAAAUAAAAAUAUUAAUCUAUUUUUAAUUCAACAAUUAAUUGAUUAAUAUUUGAAAAUCAAGUACAAUAUUUAGCAACUUGUCAUGAUCCCUAAAUAUUAGAAAAGUCAUAAGUGAUUUGAUUUAAUCUUUAAUUGACUAGUUUCUUAGUAUAAUUAUUAUAUCUCUCCGUCAACUAUUUUCCAAUUUAGACAUUAUAUAAUAAAGUGUGUCUACUCUCUCAAAUCAUGUUUAUUCUUAAUACCAUACUCAUUGAUUCUUUGAACAAGAUUUGAAAUUCUUUUCAAAUCUCAUUUCACCUUACUUAAGAAUUUACAAUCAAUAUUAUUUGAGAAUAUAUGAAACAUUUUAUCUAAUUCAAAUACUUUUAUAUAAUUUAUGUUAUGCCCAAUAUUUUCCCGUUUGUUACCCUUUAUUAGAACUUUUCCCGUUUGUUACCCUUUAUUAGAACAACAUGUAGCAGAAUCAAAAUAUAACAUUCCCUAUAUAAACUUGGUGAUCUCAAGUCUACGGAUCACCUACACAACUGUCACGUGAGCUUUUUUUAUAAAUAUAUAUGAUCUCUCCAUGUGAAAUUCUCAUGUAGGUCAUUUUAAUAAAUAUAUCAUAUGACAAGCACCUACAUAUUAGUUCUAGGUAUUUCUCAUACAUUAGUUUAAGAAAACUAAUUGCUUCAUUUCAUAAAAAAAAAUAACAUAUAUAUAUAUAUAUAUAUAUAUUCAGUCUUAAUAGAGCAUUGACCAAAAAUAUUUAGGAAUAAUGCUUUGUUGUAAUAGAAAUCUCAAAAUUAUGAAAACUCAUAAUUUUUUUUGCAAAGCAUUUUUGUUUCAAAAACUUUAUCUUUACUCUAGAUUUAUUAAUCAAAUAUUUAAUGAAUAUUAAAGAUAAAUAAAAUUUUUAUUAAAAUUAAAUAUAUUAAUAUAUAUAAAGUUAUUGUCACGUGUAAUAUAGAGCAUAUACAAAUCAAAGUUUAUAAAGCAUAUACACUAAUCUUAUAUGGACGAGUCACUAUCACUAAAUAGACAAACCGAAGAAUUUAGUAAGGAGAUAAUACUAAUAUGUUCAAGAGGAAUUUAAUAAUAACACCCCUAAAGGAUGUUUGAGAGUGUGGUAGCGGUUGCUUUUCAAAGUAGAGGUGAACAAAAAAAUCAAAAAACCGAUUAAACCGAGAAAACCCGAAAAAAAUAACAAAAAAACCGAAUCGUGAAAAAAAAUCGAUUAGAAUAUUUAAAAAACCCGAUCGGUUCAGUUUCAUAAGCCUGAAACCGAAAAACAGAACCGAAUCGAAUUGAAAUUAAUAAAAAAACCAAACAAAAAAAAAACAAGCCAAACCGGAAAAAAAACGAGCCAAAUCGAAACCGAACCCAUUAGAAAUUACAAGAAACCCCCAAAAAACAAUAUAGUUUUUGGUUUUUAAUAUAAAAUAACCGAACCGAAACCAAUCCAAACCGAAACCAAUCGGUUGGGUUUCGGUUUUUGUUCUAAAAUAACCGAACCGAACCAAAACCGAUUAUUUUGAAUCGGUUUUGAUUUUUUUAAAAAUUCAGUUUGGUUAGUUUUUAGGUAAAAACCAAACCGAACCGAAAAUGAUUACCCUUAUUUCAAUGUGUUUUUUGUUUGGAAAUGCAUCAAAAUAAUAUAUAUUUUUUUAUUUUUAAAAAAUUAUUUUUGAUAUUAGCAUAUCAAAAUGAUCUAAAAAUACUAAAAAAAAUUUAAUUUGAAGUAACAAAAAUAAUUUUUUUUUUUAAUUUUUUUAAAAUAUUUUUAAAACAUUAAAAAUAAAAAUAAACACGCCAUUCAUCUAGCCUGAUGCAACUGGGUUCAUGUUGAUGUCAUUUGCUAGGAUCGCAAAAACCUGCAAAAAUAAACACGCCAUAUUGAUGUAGCCGGAUGCAGGUGGUUCAGGUUGAUGCCAUUCGCUAGGAUCGCAAAGCAAACCCCGUUUAGCCAUGUAGAAAAAAAGAUAAACAAAACAAAACAGAACCUACACAAUGUAUAGUGAUGUUGACCGCAUAUAUUUUAAUUAGCUAUUGCUGGAGAACAGCAAUUUCUUAAUUAAGCCACGUAGUUAGAACAUGUUCAACCAUGCACAGUACUCUUGCUCCACUUCAAUGCCCACUAUGGUUAGAAAAGGGGGCUUUUCUUAGCUUUAAGAUUACUCUAUUAAUGUGUGGUAAUGUUGCGUUUCACUGGCAGCCAUUCAAUCAUAAAUGCUUUAUCUUUGCUUGCUCCUAACGUCCUAGGAUUAUGAAUUUUGAACAAGUCACCUCUUCAUUACCAAAAGAAAGAAAGAAAGAAAGAAAAAAGUCACACUUUCGCCGCCCAUGGUAGCAAAAGACUGUGCGUCUCUCCCUCUCUCCCUCUCCAUGCAGACUAGUCAUAUUAAUUAUUAAUCCACGUAACUAAAUGUUUAAUUAGUGAAUAAAUAUGGUAUAGGUUCAAGAUAUGCCAAAGCGUGACUCCAAAAUAACUAAUCUGUUCACUGCAAUUUUUCCUCUCGAUCGGUACUUGCUAGAAGUUAAUUUUCUGCGCGGAUUUUGUUCACUAGUAUCGUUAAUAUGAUUGAUUUACCUCUUAUAUCCCAGUUCAUAACAUACGAUUGAAAAUGGGGUUGUCCAUAUCAAUAAUGCUUUUUCCAUGAAUUUUCAGUAGUAAUAUUCUGAUCUGAAUUACCAUUCUGAAUUAUAACAUACGAAGAACAAAUGUCUGAAAUGACAUGAUAGAUCAACAUAUAUAGAGCUAGUUCAUGAUGAAGACACAAAACUAAGCAUAGACAUGAGGGUUCUCCAAGAGGUAGGCUUCCACGACUUUGUAUAUUCCCCUAGCUUUGUCUUGACCAGCCUUGAUUUCUUCCUCUUUGAGAGUAAAAUCUCCAAGCAUUAAAUAGCUGCUUGUCAUCUUACAAUCGCAACCUCCAUCACUCCCUACCUCAAACCUGACCUCAUAAGCAAUAGAUUCAAGCUUCUCCCCAAGUGAAUCCCCUUCAAUCAUAGUGUACUUGCAAACGAGAUUGACUCUGUCUAGCUCAUCAAUUCGAUGCUUCACGUAUUUGAUAUCAGUACCUGCAUGGUAAACUAAUCAAAUCCAUGCACCAAGUUGUGAUAUUGGCAUAAGACUUGCAUCAGUAAAACAAAUUGCUAAGUGCGCGUGUGUGUAUAUUAUAUAUACGCAUAUAUUAUGCGAGAAUGCUUAAAUAUAUAGGCUAAGGGCAAUGGCAGUUGUUUGCAGCCACGAAUCCUAACCGUACGAGUGAUUCACAGGGCCACCGCGACGGCCAUGAUCCGCGGCUGCAAGCUACCAUGACUAUCCUUAAUAUAUAGCCCUUGUUUACAAACCUUCAGUGAAGUUGACUUGCUCUAUGCUUCCAGCUCCUCCAUCUCCAUGGAUUAAAUCAACACUUUUUACGAUUUGCGGCAAGAGUUUUGGGAUCAAAUUGUUUGAGUCUAAGAUUAAGGCCUUGAACAUGCGUGCUGGGGAAAUUGGGCAUGUAAAUUCUUGUGUGUAGCUAGCGACACCCAUAGUGUUAAAGACUGUACCAAGCCGAAUAGAGAUGACACUAGUUUAUAUAUGCAUGCAUGGAUGAGUAGAUUUUUGGUUUCUUUGGUAAUUAGCCUCCUGAACUUUGUUGAAUGGAAAUGCCACCAAUGAAAGUAUAAUUUUCAAAGUCUUCAAAUUUUUGUUGGCUGCUAAGACCUGACUGGGGUUUGUGCGCCUGCGUAUAAAUAUUUAAAUAUUUGUUACGGGCUGAAAACGGUUUCUUCUACUUUGAAAAUCUAGAAGAAGGCAGGCUCACGUGUUCACAUGGGCGGCGCUCAAAGGGGUGGUUUGGAGGGCCGAGGUUGAUCGGGCUUCGAGCUCCUCGUCUAAGCUGAAUGCAAGUUGGACCUGAGGCCUACUCAAGGUCACAAAACUAUCGCUCGUGAUUCAGAGCACAGAAGCUUAUCGGGCUUCACCAUUGUUGAUGUAUCCGCAAUGAAUACACCAAUCAAAAGGACACUAUAUGUCGAAACAUUGGUAAAAAGCUUUUAUUGGUCCCUCUACUCUUAAUGUUGAAUUAGUUUGCUUUGUCCUCUCCAUUAAAUUUUUUUUUUCUAAUGUCAGCCCUUUCUAAUCUUCAUCAACAUGUCAAUCACUAAAUAGAACAUGAUUGCUACUAUAGUUUAAUUAGCUGAUUAAUCAAAUUGUCAAGCGACAAUACGAUGUAAGUUCUAAUGAUCAAGAGAAGGACAUUAAAAAUAUAGUCAAAGGAAAGAAACUAUUGAGUCUAACAAAGAGAAAAAUAGUCCUAAAACUAAGUAUUAUGUUGAUGCAGGUUCCAAUGAAUUGAAGUAAUCUGUGCAAGCUAAAAUUCUAGCAAUGUAUUUCUGGAUAAUAUAGAGGACAAGAGCAUUAAUGGAGGUAUUGGGAAGGUCAACCAAGGGCAGAAUUAGAUGAAAGAUAUGGGGGAGGUGAAUAUGAAGAGGGAGAACAUAUGGGUAGGGAUAAAUACAAAGAAAAUGAGAGAGUUUUGGAUGAACUCAUUAAAAAAAUAAAGAUGAAAGUGACUGACUUUAAUGAGAAGUUUGAUCAUGAUACUUUUCAUGAUUGGAUGGUAUCUUUAAAAGAUUAUUUUGAAUGGUUUUCAGUGCCAGAAAACAGAAUGACCAAGUUUGUUAAACUGAAAUUAAAAGGGGUUGCACAUUCAUGGUGAGAGAGUGUAAAAGAACAACAAUUGAGGCGCACACGCUAACCUUCUAUACAAGAAUAAGCAGAUAUGAAGGCUUGAUUAGAAACAAAAUACCUGCCAAACAACUAUGCGCAAAUAGUGUAUAAAAAUAUGCUUUGUUAGACACAAAGGAUGAACAUGUCUAUUGAUCAAUAUAUAGAGAAAUUCCAUGACUUGAUAAUGAGAAGUUAGAUUAUAGAAACUAAUCAACAAGCCAUUGCUAGUUAAUUGAAGGGUUUAUGAGGGUAUAAUAGGAAGGACAUGCACACUAUUAGAUUGUUUACAGUGGAUGAAGCUUACCAACUUGCUUUGUAGAUACAAAAACAAUAAGCAUUCAUUCGAAAUAAAUAUGAGAGAGAUUAGCAUGGCAUGAAUAAGUCUACACCAUUGAAGAAUAAUGUGAAGGGCAACAUGAACAAUGUAAGGAAUACAGGCUUUUAUGGAGACCAGAACAAAACUAUGAUGGGCAUUGAUGGAUCACAAUGCUAUAAAUCAAAGGAUGGGCUGUAUAAGUGGCUUGUGAUGCCUUUUGAUCUAACAAAUGCACCAAACACCUUCACAAGGGUGAUGACUCAGACUUUGAAACCUUUUUUAGGCUGGUUUGUUGUCGUAUAUUUUGAUGAUAUACUUAUUUUUAGUCAGAAAAUAGAGCAACAUUUAGAACAUCUGGAACAAAUUUUCAAGGUGCUAUGAUAAAAGAAGUUUUAUGCUAACCUUAACAAAUGUUCUUUUGAUCUAACAAAUGCACCAAACACCUUCACAAGGGUGAUGACUCAGACUUUGAAACCUUUUUAGGCUGGUGUGUUGUCGUAUAUUUUGAUGAUAUACUUAUUUUUAGUCAGAAAAUGGAGGAACAUUUAGAACAUCUGGAAUAAAUUUUCAAGGUGCUAUGAUAAAAGAAGUUUUAUGCUAACCUUAACAAAUGUUCUUUUCUUCAAUCCAAGGUGAAUUUUUUGGGCUUUAUCAUAUUCCAACAAAAAGUUGAAACAGACCUUGAGAAGAUUCAAGCAAUCACAUAAUGGCUAGAACUAUAAUUUGUUUUUGAAGUCAAAAGCUUCCAUGGUUUAGCCACCUUUUAUUGUCGAUCUAUGCUUUUAGUACCAUCAUGGCUUCAAUCACAGAGUGUUUAAAAGCCAAAGUAUUUAAGUGGUCUUCUGCAGCAGCACAAACUUUUAAAGAUAUUAAGCAAAAGAUGAUAAAGGCUCCUAUUCUUAAACUUCCUAACUUCUCUUAGGUUUUUAAAUUUUUUUGUGAUGCAUCCCACGUGAGCAUUAAGGGUGUGCUUAGUCAAGUAGGACAUCCUAUUGCAUAUUACAGUGAAAAUCGAAUGAUACUAGGAGGAAAUACUUAGCCUAUGCCCUAGAAUUGUAUGCACUUAUUCAAACUUUAAAGCACCGAAGGCCUAACCUUAUCUAUCACGAGUUCAUUUUAUUUACCAUUACUACUUAGAGUACUUACAUUCUCAACACAAUUUGAGUGUUAAACAUGCUCAAUGGUUAAGUUAUUUACAACAAUUCAACUUUGUUAUCAAGCACAAGACUGGAUGCGAGAACAAGGUAGCAAAUGCAUUUAGUCACAGGCCUUAUCCAUUAGUCAUUCUCUCAAUAAGUCAUUCAAGUUUUGCUUCAAUGAAGAACAACUAUAGUACAAACUUAGAUUUUAAGUAAGUUUGGGAUUCUUUGCACAACAGUCCUCCUAUUCCAGUAUCAAACUAUGCAAUAAUAGAUGGCUAUUUGACUAAGGGUGGUCAUAUAUGUGUUUUUAAGAGGUCCUUAAAGAAGGUUAUUGUUCAGGAGUUGCAUGGAGCAACAAGAUAUUUCAGGCAAGAUAAAACAUCCUCUUUGGUUGCUGAUUGCUUUUAUCAAUUCCAUAAAGACCCUAGCUUGAUUAGAGUAUGGACUUUGUACUUGGCCUUCCAAAGACAGUUCGUGGUAAUGAUUCUAUCAUAGUGGUGGUAAAUUGAUUCUCCUAGAUGGUGCAUUUUGUUCCUUGAUGAAAGACCUUUAAUGCUUCUCAUAUUGCUUCUUUGUUCUUACAAGAAAUCGUACGGCUACAUGGCAUCUAGUUUCCAUUGUCUCUGACAGAGAUGUCAAAUUUGUUAGUUACUUUAAGAAAACACUUUAGGUUAAAUUAGGAAUAAAACAUCUUUUCUCUAGUGCCUUCCACCCACAUAUUGAUGGUCAAACCAAAGUUACUAAUAGAAGUCUUGGUAAUCUGCUCAAAUGCUUAACUAAUGAUCAUAUUGUAAAUUGAGAUUUAAUUUUACCAUAAGUUAAAUUUGCGUACAAUAAUUAAUGUUAAUCAAAUAACAUGUAUCACACAAUUUGAAUUGGUCUAUAGGUUUAACCCUAAGAUUCCUAUAGAUAUCACUUCCUUGCCUCUACCUCAGAAGACUAGUGAAACAAGGUUGGAUUUUGUAGUAUUUAUAUCCAAUUUACAUGAGUGUCAAGUGCAAGAUGACAUAUCAGGUUGUUAAAUAUACUACACAAGCUAAUAGACACAUGAAGGAGCUAUAUUUUGAGGAAAUGGAUUUGGUUUUAGUUAGAUUACGGCUAGGAAAGUUUCCCCCUAGAACAUACAACAAAUUGCAUACUAGGAGAGGUGGUCUAUUCAAGAUCCUUAUGAAGUUGAGAACUAAUGCCUUUUUGAUUGAUCUAAUAACAAAUUUUUAGUUUAGUCUAAUUUUCAAUAUGAAAGAUCUUACAGCUUAUUAUGGUUCUGUAUCCAUUAAGAAGUGGAGAAUCCUCUUUCAACAAUCCCUCAAGUUCAGCCAACACCAAAAGUUGUUGAUUCAAUAUUAACACUUCAACUUGUGUCUACCAGAAGAGGGGGUUAUCAUAAAUUUUUGGUGAAAUGGGCAUCCAAACCCAACUCGGAGGCAAUGUGGUUACAAGGCAGUGAAGUUCAUCACCUUUAUCCUCAAUUCCUUCAAGACUAUACCAAACAUUACUUGCCUAAGACAAGUUGCUUGGUGAGAGAGGAAAUUGAUGCAAGUUCUAAUGAUCAAGACAAGGACAUUAGAAAAAAAGUCAAAGUAAAGAAACAAAUUGAGCCUAACAAAAGGAAGAAUGAUGCUAAAGCUGAUAAUUAUAUUGAUGCAAGUUCCAAUGAAUUGAAUAUUUUGUGCAAGCUAAGAUUCCAGCAAUGCAUUUUAACAAAGCAAUGCUUAUUGACAGGAAAUAGCAGUUGAUUUCCAAUAAAUGAUGCCAAUCAUCUAAGUGGAAGUAGUAGUUAAUAUUAACUAUUCUUGUCUUUACCUAGUUAGUUUUUAGCGGUUAGGAUUUGUUUAGUUAUUAAGUAAUUAUUAUUUAAGUAACUAUUAUUUGUAAAACUAUUUAAGAUAAGAUUGUAAUUCCAUAAGGUAGGUUCUUGUGAUAAAGUUAUACUUCAAAUUGGUGAGAUUCUAUCAUGGGAAUGAUUCCUUGAGCUAUUUGUUAUUUAUUUUAUAAUUUUGAAAUUGCAAUAAAAUCCUGAGAUUCCCUUUCUUUUUUGUCUUCUUAAUCCUCUUCUGAACAAGUUAUUGAGAUAGCUUUAUUUGCAAGUUAUUGAGAUACUUCAAAUUGGUGAGAUUCUAUCAUGGGAAUGAUUCCUUGAGCUAUUUGUUACUUAUUUUAUAAUUUUGAAAUUGCAAUAAAAUCCUGAGAUUCCCUUUUUUUUUUGUCUUCUUAAUCCUCUUCUGAACAAGUUAUUGAGAUAGCUUUAUUUGCAAGCAUUUUUUUCACAAGUCCACAGUAUUGUUGGCAUUACUGUUGGCAUUAGCUAUACAUUGAUCUAGUUGAGAGUUUGUAGGAGAAAGUUUAGUAAUUAAUUUAUUCCACACCUGUAUAAGUGUUGUCUGUGGCAGGAAUCCGUAGUUUUCAAGAACACCUUCUCUGUGUAUAUAUAGGAGCAUUGUAAACUUAAAACAUUAAGCGAGUGAAUACAAAUCGAAGAACUCUUUCUUUUGUAACAUGAUAUUAGAGCGAUACAUAAAAACUAUUUUCUUUUUCCUUUAAAUUAUUGAAAGCUGUUAUUGUAACAAUAGCAACAACACAGAAGACGAUAGCAACCUCUAUUGAUUUAGUGGAACAAAAUCAACAAGGAACUACUGUUAUCCUUGAAGAUUUAACCACAAGAAUGAGUCAGGUUUUGACACAAAACCAGACCCCGACAUUUAUAGUGACAUAUGAUACUGCUACACCGAUUACUAUCAAACUUAAUGGAACCAACUACGCUCUAUGGUCCCAAAUCAUCGAGAUGUAUAUCUUAGGAAAAGACAAACUAGGAUAUAUAAAUGGUGAUCUUCCACAACCAGAUCCGAACGAUCCUACAUUCAGAAGAUGGAGGACAAAAAACUCAAUUGUAAAGGGUUGGUUGAUCAACUCGAUGGACCCCUCCUUAUCAACUUUUCGGUUUCCAACAGCAAAACAGGUAUGGGAAUCAAUUGCUACAACUUAUUUUGACGGGAAUGACAAAUCUCAGGUAUAUGAUUUGAAGAGACGGGUCACUCGAAUAAGACAAAGUGGAGAAUCCAUCGAGUCAUACUACAAUGGUCUUCAAGGCCUAUGGAGGGAAAUCGACUUUCGCUGCCCAAAUCCAAUGGAGUGCGCAAGUGAUAUACAUAAAUAUAACACCCUACUUCAAGAAGAUCGGGUUUAUGUUUUCCUUGAUGGACUAGAUGAUAGACUUGAUAAAAUUAGGAGUGAUGUACUUCAACUACAACCAUUUCCAACCGUUGAACAAGCCUAUGCCUGUGUCCGAAGAGAAGACACCAGACAAUCAGUCAUGCUCACAACCAAUGGUGGUCCUACUGCUUCAGUAAUGGCAAUUAGAAGGGGAAAAACUAGUCCACCACUACAUAUGAAAAAGAGACAAACAUGGUAUGCAGCACCGAGGGGAGGGAAACUAAAUUUUUUAAAGGUUAAGGGAUAGAUAGAGGGUGGAGGACAUGGCUGUUCUCAUUGUGGGAACGUAAAACAUACACGUGAAACUUGUUUCAAGCUGCAUGGCUACCCAAAAUGGUGGAAUGAACUCAAAGCAAAGAAACUAAAGGAAGCUAAUGGUGGAACUGGACGAGCAUCAAUAGCAUACGCAGGACCCCAACUUUCUCUUACUCCUCUUGUGGAAUCAAAAGCAGAGACUUCUAUUAAUCGCAGUGAUCAAGGUAACGACUACUAUUACAACAGCAGUGCUUUCAUAGUCUCUAAGGAACAGAGAAAAGAUGACUGGAUAGUAGACUCCGGUGCAACAUACCAUAUGACCUUUAGUCCAUAUGAUCUUGCCAAUCACACAGAACCAAGAAGAACGAGUAUUUCUAAUGCUAACGGGGUCAUGUAUCCAGUUAUAGGGGCUGGAACAGUGCACUUAUCAUCAUCGAUAUCUUUACCUAAUACUCUUUUAGUACCGUCUCUUACAAAUAAAUUACUGUCUGUAGGACAAGCUACUGAAGAAUUAAAUUGUAUAGCACUAAUAUAUCCAACAUUUUGCCUUUUUCAGGAUAUUCUCACGAAGGAGAUCAUUGGGCAUGGUACUAAGAGAGAGGAUUUAUACUACAUGGAUGAUUUCAGUUCUGGCAGAGUCAAUACGGUGAAACAUUCAUCCAGCACAAAGGAAAAACAUAUUUGGUUAUGGCAUGCUCGGUUGGGACACCCAUCAUUCAGUUAUAUGAGGUAGUUAUUUCCACAAUUAUUUUCUGGUCUGAAUUAUUUAGAGUUUAAAUGUGAGACUUGCAUUUUAGCAAAGAGCCACCGUGUACCCUUCCCCAUUAGUUUUAAUAAAAGUGAUGCUCCUUUUGCGUUGAUUCAUUCGAAUAUUUGGGGACCAUCUCCUAUCACCACGGUCCAUGGUAUAAAUUGGUUUGUGACUUUUAUAGAUGAUUGUACUCGAAUGACAUUGUUAUAUUUGCUGAAACGUAAGGACGAGGUAUUUGGUGUAUUCUGUGCCUUUCAUGCUAUGAUCCAGAACCAAUUUUCAGCAAAAAUCAGAAUCCUGAGAUCAGAUAAUGGCGGAGAAUAUGCAAACCAAGAUUUUGUGCAAUAUUUUCACAAAUAUGGUCUCCUCCAUGAAUUCUCCUGCAGCCAAACUCCACAACAAAAUGGCGUGGCCGAACGAAAGAACAGACACAUUUUGGAAACUGCCCGUGCAUUACUAAUUGGGGCACACGUACCUCACCACUACUGGGAUAAAGUUGUAGUAAAUGUUGUCCACCUACUGAAUCGCAUGCCUUCUAAGGUAUUAGAAUUCAAGACUCCAUUACAGGUUCUAUCCAAUCAUGCUCCAUUACCAUUUGUACUCAUGCUUUCCCCACGUGUAUUUGGAUGUGUAGCAUUUGUCCAUCUACAUAAAAACCAACGAAGCAAACUAGAUUCAUGUGCUGAUCGGUGCAUUUUUCUGGGGUAUGGCACAAACAAGAAGGGCUAUUGUUGCUACAAUCCUACCACAAAACAUACCUACAUCACAAUGGACAUUACAUUCUCAGAAUCUGAGAAUUAUUACUCAUCAUCAGUAUCCACUUCUCCUCUUCAGGGGGAGACAUGGAAGGAAGAACAUAAAUGGUGGGACUGCCCAGUUAUAGCACCAACAGUGACAUAAAGGGAUGCUGUAGUGAUAGAAAGGGAUGUUAUGGGUGUUGUUGAUCUUCCUGCAGAUAUUGCAGUAACAACAACACCAAUGGUAGAAAGGGAUGAUACAGUGGAUCAUGUAGCUAUAACAGAAACAGAUGUCGUAGGAAUUGUUACAAUAGACGAUGCAACAGUGCCAGAAAAUCUUGAACAUCACACGCCUAACAGACAAACCCCUCUACUUCUUAUACCCGACAAUGAUAAUUCUUCACCAGAGAAUAUCCAUAAGGUAACCUCUCCUUCUCCACCUCCUAACCAUGUUCUGGAUACUCCUGUUGGUUAUCAGUUACCUGCCAUGCAUAAUAGGGGCAAGCCCCCAGCUCGAUACCCACCCAGCACCGAAGGAAAACAAUCACAUUAUCCUAUCUCUAAUCAUGUAACUACUUAAAGGCUGCCCAAACCUCUUAGAGACUUCACCGAUAAGCUAUUUGCUUGUCAUAUCCCUUAUGAAAUUCAGGAAGCCUUGACUAAUCCUAGAUGGACACGAGCAGUAGAGGAAGAGAUGGAAGCACUAGAAAAGAACAGAAUAUGGGAACUUAUUCCGCUGCCAGAGGGGAAGAAGACAGUUGGGUGUAGAUGGAUUUUCUCCAUUAAGCACAAAGAAGAUGGAACAAUUGAGCGAUACAAAGCAAGAUUGGUAGCCAAGGGAUACACACAGACGUAUGGAGUGGACACACAGAUGUAUGGAGUGGACUUCAGGAGACAUUCUCUCCAAUAGCAAAACUAAAUACUAUCAGAGUGUUAUUAUCUUUGGCAGCAAAUUUAGAUUGGCCACUACACCAAUUUGAUGUCAAGAAUGCCUUCCUUCAAGGAGACAUUGAGGAGGAAGUGUAUAUGGACAUCCCACCGGGGUAUACCUCGUCCCCUACCGCUGGAAUUGUUUGCAGAUUACAAAAGGCUUUAUACGGGUUGAAACAAUCACCACGUGCUUGGUUUGGCAGGUUUAGUAUGGCUAUGAAAAAAUAUGGUUUUCAACAAAGCAACUCUAAUCACACUUUGUUCUUAAAACAACGACAGGAAAAGGUAACUGCCUUGAUAAUUUAUGUGGAUGACAUGAUCAUUACUAGAGACGAUACAGAAGAAAUCUAUAAGUUGCAUAAACAUUUGGCUACUGAGUUUGAGAUUAAGAGUUUAGGAGGUCUGGAGUAUUUCUUAGGGAUUGAAGUGGCUAGGUCAAAACAAGGCAUAUUUCUUUCACAGAGAAAAUAUGUGCUAGACCUACUAACCGAAGUAGGGAUGCUUGACUGCAAGCCAACCGACACCCCAAUGGUUCAGAAUCAGAAACUUGGGAUUUUUCAGAGCAAGUUCCAACUAAUAAGAAAAGCUAUCAAUGACUGGUGGGCAAAUUGAUUUAUCUAUCACAUAAUCGUCCAGAUAUUUGCUAUGCUGUCAGUAUAGUCAGCCAAUUCAUGCAUUGUCCAAGUGAAGAGCAUAUGGAUGCUGUAGUAAGAAUACUUCGUUACUUGAAAUCAGCUCCUGGAAGAGGGCUUCUAUUUUCCAAGAACAAUCAUCUAGAGGUUGAGGGGUACAUAGAUGCUGACUGGGCAAUAAGCAUAUCUGAUAGAAAAUCUAUGUCUGGAUGCUUCACGUUUAUUGGUGGCAACUUGGUCACAUGGAGGAGCAAGAAACAAAACGUAGUUGCCUUGUUAAGCACAGAGGCUGAGUUUCGAGGGAUGGCAAAGGGACUAUGUGAACUGCUUUGGCUUAGAAGAUUAUUUUCAAAAAUUGGUUUUGGUCUCAAACCAAGAAUGAACCUGUACUAUAAUAAUAAAGCUGCCAUUGAAAUAUCUCAUAACCCAGUUCAACAUGACCGCAUAAAACAUAUUAAGGUAGCCAGGCAUUUUAUUAAACAAAAUCUUGAAAGAGUGAUUAAUUUUCCAUUUGUCAGAUCAGAGAAUCAGCUCACGGAUAUCAUUGCAAAAGCCGUCUCCAGCAAAAACUUUUAGAGCUCUCUUGACAAGUUGGGCAUCGAAGACAUCUUUGCACUAACUUGAGGGGGAGUGUUGGCAUUAGCUGUACAUUGAUUUAGUUGAGAGUUUGUAUGAGAAAGUUUAGUAAUUGAUUUAUUCCACAGCUGUAUAAGUCCUGUCUAUGGCAGGAAUCCAUAGUUUUCAAGAACACCCUCUCUAUGUAUAUAUAGGAGCACUGUAAACUUAAAACAUUAAGCGAGUGAAUACAAAUUGAAGAACUCUUUCUUUUAUAACAAUUACAACACCAGGCUAAUAUCAUGCAAUCAUGACAACCCAAGAUCGCAGCUAGUGUUCUUCUACGAACUAAUUUAAAUUCCAAAUAAGAUAGACAAUAAAGAAUGCAAUUUCCAAACCAAGUUUUUCCACAGAACAUUGGUUUGUGGAUGCUAUAAAUGAAUUAUGGAUGAACUGAAUAUUAUGCAAAGUUUAAUCACAAAAGUUUAAUUAAAUGAUGCAAGAAAUCCCAAGUUAGACAAACAGAACUUCUAGAAAUAAUAGUUGGAAAGCUUUUGAACUAUACGAAAACCAAACUGAGCUUUUGACAGAAUCGUGACUUGACCAAAAUUUCCAGGUAGUGCAUGGUUUGUCAUGAAGUGCUAGUCAAUUGGAAGGCUAUGGCUACAGCAUUGCUAUUCCAAAAUGGGGCACCUGGUGAUGAUCAAUUCCUCCAGAGGCCUCUGCUUGAGGCCUUCUGGUAUUGCCUUAAGCUUGGGGCAAUCAUAGAGUGAUAAUGAGCGCAGACAUGGCAUUGUCCUCCUUGUUGCAGCUGAGGUUGUUGUUGUUGUAUCCCAAUUUUCCCACUCCACCAUAUAGCGAAAGGUGAGCUCUUUCAACUUUGGGAAUAAAACAACUGAUUCUGUAAUAGAAUUUUGAUCUGUGACAGGAUCUAUCCCAAGAAACUCAACACUAACGCAUUUUACAUUGUUGAAGUGUCCUAUCAGAAGUUUUUCUAGAGAUGGGAGUUUCCCUAAAGAAGGCAACUCCUUGCAGUUUACACAUCUGAGGAGUUUCAAAUCUUUCAUCUUUGUAAGCAAUGUCAUCCAGCUGGGCAAAAUUGAUCCACCAUAGUCGUAAACAAGUAAAGCUUCCAAGUUAGGAUGUGGUUGCAAAGCUUCAAGAACAUUUGUGAUCAGCUCUUGCCCUCCGAACGAGAAUGCUAGAUCCAAACUUCUUAGGUGCUCCUUAUUUUUCAAGUUCGCCUCCAUCACUUCAUUCACAUUUCUAACCUUCUCUAGCCCACUUAUUUCCAGAUGCCCUCUGAGAUGAUUGAGGUUUUUCAGUUCUCCAACAUUACAUCCUUCCCUAUUCUCACCAAUACAAAACUUGCUCAAAGUGCGGAGGUUACUUAAUCUCCCAAUUCCUUGUGGCAAUACGCUAAGGCUUUCGGUCUCUUCAAUAUUAAGAUAUCUCAGGUUAAUUAGCUUUCCAAGGCCUCUAGGUAGUCUAUGAAGACGUCUACAACCAUGAAGUUUUAAGGCCAGCAAAUUAUACAACUUACAGAUAGUAUCAGGCAACACUACAAAAUUCAAGCCAGAUAAAUUUAACCAUCUUAAAUGAAAAAGUCUACCAACAGCACUCGGUAGUCCGGUAAUUGAAGUAUGGCUCAAAUCCAAUCCCCUAAGGCACUGCAAGCCAUGAAAUAGAUCAGGAGGAGCUGUCUUCACAUCCUUUUGCAGGACCUGCAGUGUACGCAGAUUUUUCAGGUUGAAAAUGAUGGGAUGAAACUGUUUCUCUCUACCCGUUAAGGUCAUGUGACGGGCUUUUGUAUGCAAAGAAGCCAUCUCUAACACAUUUUUCUCAUCAAAUUCGAUAACGAAGCAUUGGUUCUUUGAAAGAAACUGGGCAAAGCUUUGCACAAUGUCAUGCAUCCUGCAAGCAACUAUGCUGAAAUCAUCCCUGUCUCUUUCCAAAUCUUGAAAGAAUGACCGCAUUACUAAGUUAUCAAAAUACUCUGCACCUAUUUGCUCCAUUUCAACACUUCCCGUUGGAACAAGGAAACCCUGAGCCAUCCAAAGCUGUAUCAAAGUGUCUCUCUCUAUCUUAUGAUCUCUAGGGAAAAUAGCACAAAAUGCAAAACACCGUUUAAUGGGGGGUGACAGGUCAUGAUAACUCAAUAACAGAUGAGGAAAAAUUCCCCUUUCAGCUUCUUCCGAUUCCCACAAUUCACUGUGAAGGACAUUCUCCCAAGCUUGUUUCGUUUCCUUGAAGCGCAUUAGACUCCCCAAGGACUUUACAGCCAGAGGCAGACCUUGGCAUUUGUCUGCAAUUUCUCUACCAAUUUCUUCUAAAUUAUCACGAUCCUCUCUGCUCUUUCCGUAGAAAGCAAAUUUACUAAACAAUGACCAAGAAUCCUCAGGAGACAAUUUACCUAGAGGGAGCAUGUAAGCAGCAUCCAUCAUUUUUGAAACUCCCUCAUUCCUUGUAGUCACUAAAAUUCUACUCCCUGGGGCUCCAGAUUUAAGGGGUACCUUUAUUGGUUCCCAUAUCCUGAAGUCAUUAGUCCAUACAUCAUCCAGCACAAGAAGGAACUUCUUUCCCAUGACAGACUUGCGCAGAUGUUCUUGCAAAUGUUGCCACAAUAUGUACGUAUGGAGUUCAUCAAAAGCAUUAAUGAUCGUUUUUGCAAUCCGGAUCCUAUCAAAAGGCUCGGAAACACACACCCAGAUUCUGUGCUCGAAAUGAGCAGUCACUUUAUCAUCACUGAACACCAACUGAGCAAGGGUUGUCUUUCCCAUGCCUCCCAUCCCAGCUAUGGAGAUAAUAAGAGGGCAGUUCUCUUCUUCGAAUUCUUCACACAGCUUACUUAUUAUAGUAUCUUUAUCGAAGUCCCGACCACAUACCUCUGAAACAUCAAUUAGAGGUGUAGUCUCCUGUCGAUCUGCUUCUUCCGUCUUGCCGUCAAUAUCAAAAUGGUACUUGUCUUUCUCAUUUGCAACCUCAUCUAGUCUUUCUUUAAUACAUUCCAUCUUGCUACCAAUAUCACGAUGCAUAACAAGUUGAUUGACACAAAAACAUGGAGAAAUAAACUUGGAGAGACGUACCAUCUUCUUGGAAAGGGAGGAAUGAUGAUGGCCCAUUAUCUCAAUUCUUUUGGGUUCACAGAUCUUGGUGUUCCAUUCAUCUAGCAAGUCAUCCAAGUCAUAAGAUAUGGCCUCAAGCUGUUCUAACCAAACCCGCACCCUCUUUUCUUUCACUUGCUUUUUCUCAGCAUCAAUGAGCACAGAUCUGAUAGCAGUGAGGGUUGUAGUAAGCUUUUCAACCUUCUUUUUCCCUCCAAGGAUUAAUGCUGACUCAUUUUCAAUGGCUGAAGUUAGCUGCUGCAAGACCUUUGAUACAAGAGCAUCAGCCAUGGUUAGCGCAGCAGGCAAUUAAUUUUGUGGUUGAUGAUGGAGGAGCAGCAAAGUGAAGAAAAAAACAUCAUAAAGUCAAUGGACACGCUUUUUUUAAAGUUUUCUUUUUACAAUAAUGCUUUGUACUUUUUCUUUAUAGCUUAGUUAAAAAAAAUGAUUACGAGUUUCAUUUUGACAUUUCAAUAAUUGAAACUUUUUACUAUUAACUAGUUGGUGAUUUUGUGGAAAAAACUUGAAAUUAAAAAAUAUUUUUUUUUUAUAAUUUUAAAUUUAAAUCAUGUAAUUGCUAAUAUAAUAGUAACUAGAGACUUACAUAAUCAUUAACUUUAAAGUCCAUGGAAUUAGUCAAAAUACGUGCAAGUUAACCCGAACACUUAAAUUAAUAAAAUAAUAAUAAUAAUAAUUAAAACUCUUUAAUUCAACCAAUUUUUUCAAAACUUUUAUUGUCAAAUUAACAAGAAAUAGAAAAUGAACCUAUCUUUUUUUUUUUCUUUUAAUAAUAGCAUAUACUUCUGCCUUGUAUUUAUUGUUUCAUUAACUUUAAGUUUCUCAUUUCUUUUUGCUAUGCAUAGCUCUUUAAAAAAAUUUGCAUAGUCAAUAACAUGUUUAAUUGCAUCUAAGAGUGAAAUAUUAUUCCACCAUUCCUAAACAAAUUUGAAAUUUCAUUCUUUUGCUUGUCUUUUAUGUGUGACCCAGAAGAACUCAAACAAAAAAGUGGAGCUAGCUUUAAAGAGGAAUUAAAAGGUUGAAAAUGAAAAUUAGUUCGGUUAUGUUUGGAGAAGUUUUAGAAUGUUCGACUGGCAAAAAAAGGGAUGGACAAAAAAAACCUCUCUUUUUUGUAAGAAAAAAACAAUCAAAGACAAGUCAGGCACACCAUGGUCAGUUUGCACCCUAGCUCCAGCUCACAACCAGCCACUAUCAAGCUUCCAUCCUAGCUCUGUCAUCAUAGUUCAUUUGUAAACUAAAACGUGUUUGAUGAUAUAACAGUGAUUAAAUUUUUAAAAUAUUUUUUAAUUUAAAAUAUAUUAAAAUAAUAUAUAUAUUUAUUUUUUUAAAAUUAUUUUUGAUAUCAAAAUAAUCUGAAAAUAUUUUAAAAAAAUAUUAAAAGGUUGAGAAUUUACCUUAGAAGGCAUGAAAAUGAAAAUUAGUUCGGUUAUGUUUUGAGAAGUUUUAGAAUGUUCGACAGGGACUGUCACAUUGUCAGCCAAUAUAUAUCUCCUUUUUUCUAUCAGCAAACACAACUUAUUCACACCUACUGCACCAGCCACAACAGCACUAACUUCACCUUCCUUCAAAUUUCCAACCAAAGAAACUAUAAACAACAGCCUCUCCCUCCGUGACCAUCACUGCCACCAGCGGUGAAAGAGGAACAACAACUCAACCUUCAUCUUUUUCCUCCUUGCCGCUACGUCCUCUCAUCAUCAUUAACAAACAACACUUCUCCUCCAGACCUGAUGGCGCAGCUGCGGGUGACAACAGCUAGCCUCAGCAACAUCACAACAUCCAACAGUAUCUUCACCAACCACACCAAUUUGGCUCUCCACAGUAACGGCAACCUCCUGGACAAGUUACAACAGCUUCAACUUCCAGUUGCAGCAGCACCAAGCUCCCAAUGGCAGCUGCACUUCCUCAACCCAACCACAAUCAACUCUUCUACACCAUGAUGGCCUCAACAACUUCUUCCUCCCAUGCAGUGCCAACAGCCCAAGCACAACAACUUCAGCCCCUGCAACGAGACCAGCAACAACGAAAGCACCGCAAGCUUCUUUCAGCAACCGUCACGAUGCUUUCCUCCCCUGCUCCAGGUAACCUUUAUUCCUCAAUAACUAUCACUUCAUGCUGCCUCUGUUUUUCUUUCAAAUGAAAGAGGGAUGGGCUAGACUCUCAACCCAACCCACGUGGUUGAGUUUGGUCCAACCACCAUGUAUUAAAAAAAAAUGUUUGGGCUGAUUACCGGCUCAAAAACCAAACCGGGCUAGGCUUGGGACUUGAGUCCAACUAGCCUAGCCCCCAGGCUAAGGGUGUGUUUGGCAAACUCAUCUUUAUGCCUAUUCCAUAGUUUUUAACUUGUUUUUAUUUUAAUUUCCAUCCAAAUAGAUUCUUAAAAAUUUCAAAAAAAUAAUCCUUUCAUUUCAAAAACAUAAAAAUAUAUUUCUUUUCAAGGAUUUCACUUAAAAUCAAGGCUGUAGAAUUAUACUAUAAGAUACUAACUCGAUAUUAAAAAUACUUGUUUUUCGUUGAAAUUUCUCAAAAAUUCCAAAACAUUUCUAGAAAAAUUUCUCAUUUCAAAAAUACAAAAAAUAUAUUUUAUUUUGUGUACAUAUAACCAAAUUCUAAAAUUUUCAUGCAUAUUUCAUACAAAAUAUCGUAUUUGGAUGCGCGGUGUUGGGGGCUUGUUGGUCGUCAACUAGAUGUUUAGUUCAGGGUCGCUAGGAAAUCUAGGUGUACUGAUCUUAUCAUAGAUUCGAGGGUAAGAGACUGGUCGUGGCUAGAGAAGUAUUAACACCCUUAGCGCACCCUACCUGAUGUAAGUUGUUUUGUGUAGUUUGAUGUGGUAUAAAGGUUUUAGUGGUUUUCUAAUCAAUGGUUUACCUAUGGUUUAUGAUUGAGAUUUACUCGUAUGAAUAAAUUCAGUGUUUAAGAAUUUAUUAUAAACUCGAGUACCCAAAUAAAUUCUUAGGAAAAAGUUUUUCUAAUCAACUCCUGAUAUUUCAAAUAAUAGUCUCACUUGUAAGUCCAAUGUUUUGUACCAAGAUUUUUAACCAUUAAUUCUCAUGAAUUAAAAUAUAGUGAUUACUGAAAUAUUGGCCAAAUUCUCAUGGAUUUAAUACAUUGGUUAUUAAAUCCUAAAAUGCAUGCAAAUAUGUAUUUUUGAAUUUUCAUAUGGAAAUACUAAUAAUAUGAAUUUUUUUUCAUAUUUUUGAGAGAUUUGACCGUAUACAAUGAAAACAAAUUGAUGAUUUUUAUCUUAAAUCUUAAUCAAUCACAAAUCAUCAUUAAACAAUCCCAAAACCAUACGCAUGAUUAAUAAUUUGUCCCCAAAACUAAUAAUUUAUCAAAUAAAUGGUUUGGGGUUAGGAAUUGACCUUCCAAGGUUGUUAGGUAAUCCCGAUAGUGCGUGAAACUACACAACAUCGCCAUUACCGACACGUGGAAUCAUGCGCUGUCUCUACUAGAGGAGGAGAACCUGGUAAAUCUGAAACUCCUCUGUCUCCUCUUUGAUUUCUCACUGAUGAUGCAACAAACAGACAAUUGUAGAAGGAGCUUCACUAUGUUGAAAUUUUAGUCUUCUUCAUGUUUUUCAGUUUAAGUCUGUCUCUUCUCCUUACUGCUGCAUUUUAAUGCUGACACUGGUGGGAGAAGAUUGUAGAUGGCCUGAAACUAUUACAUCUCCUCUUGAUUUUCUCUCUAGUAGAGCCACAAACAAAUUUCUAUAGAGGGGUUCUGCUACGUUGAAAUUUCAAUGUAUGCUCAUGUUUGUUUUCUUCACAGUUGGUUGCUACUGCCACUACUCGUGAGGUAAGCUGCUGUAGGAAAAUCCUUCAUUGUUGUAGUUGAUUGAUGAUUAAAUGAGUGCUGUUGUUGUUGUUGUUGUUGGCUGCGAGCUACCGGUUGGAUUGAUAGGCUGCUAUGUUAAAGCUGAUACCGCUGGAGUUCAUGUGAUGUAGCGUUGUUGUGCUGAAGUGUUGGAGAUGGAAGACCACUGUAGAGGUGCUCGCAGCUUCUAAGGAGAGAUUGUUGCUAAUAUUGCUCUUGAAGGAAACAAAGGACAAAUCACAGCUGUUGGGAUCCUAAAGAGCUACAUAUGCUAAAAGCUAUUGUAGUUGUUGUUUCAAUAUCAAACGGCCAAGUAUGGUUGGACUACUACGAAAUCUCUUAUAAGGAAAUCAACUAAGUUGUUGUUGUUACUUUUAUUAAACGCUCCUCAUCACCUUUAAUACUGCUUACAAGUGUUGUUGGUGACCCCAAAGUCUUUUUAGACCCCAUUAGAUAAAUCAAAAAAUCGAAUGAAAUGAUAGUCGCUGACCGGGGGGGUAUUGCUUAGCUGGUGGCGUUGUCAUGAGGAUGGUAGCUCAUGGUAGAGAUGCUCGUGGUUGCUGGAGCUGUCGCUGUUUGUCUGAUAUUGUUGAAGCCAAAGUAUCGAAGCGUUAUUAAGCUGAUUGAAUCCUUGUUGCUUGCGAGAGUUUGCUACUACUCAGGAGGUUCUACUCACAUAUGAAGUAUUGAAGUAGUUGAGGAACACAACCACUAUUACUUGAGAAGAUGAGAGAGAAGCUGCAUGAAGAAGAAAUUGUUGUCGCACGUGUGCGGCGUCGCGGCGAUCGCCCACCACCCCCCAUCAUCAGGUGUGAUAUGUCUAUCUAUUGUGGAAAAUAUGGUGAGACAAGGAAUUCUUUGUCUAUUAGCGGUGAAAAAUGGUGUGGGAGUCGCCACCUAGUAUUUUAGUCACUAGGAACCCUAACUGGUCUCAGAGAUUGGGUACGGAAGCUGGUUGCGUAAAGGAAAGGUAUUAGCACCCCAAAUACGCCCUACCUAAGGUAAGCUGCAUUGUUUUAUUGUCAAAAAAUUCUAAGGUCUUCUCAUGUUGGUCCGUCUAGGGUUUAAGAAAAGCCCUCCUCAAUAAGGAGGUUCUUAUCUUAUGGGGUAAAAAUCUAACCGGUCUAAUGUUGAUAGAGAAUUUUUAAUAUCGGGAAUACGUUUUACGUAUAAAUUCGUAAUCCCAGACAUAAAACAAAACAAAAUAUUUUUUUUAUUUUUUUUGAAAUAUUGGUCAAGUUCUCAUGACUUUAAUAAACUGGUUAUUAAAGCCAAAAUACAUGCUAGUGUGUGUGUCUAUAUAUAUAUAUAUAUAUAUAUAUAUAUAUAUAUAAUUUGAAGUUUUCUUUGUUAUAAAAAAAAAUACAAUAUGAGUUUUUUAGCUUUGAGAGACUUGGCCGUAUGCAUGGAAACAAAAGUUUUUUUUUUUGAAAACCAGGUAUUUUUAAUACCGGAUUUUUAUUUUUAUGAUAUUAAAAUACAGACCAAUCUUAGUCUAAAUGACGUAGAAAAAUCCAUGGGAAAAUCACAAAUUUUAAAAAAAUAUAGAUAUAUAACAAAAAAAAAACACACACUCAAAAAGAGAGAAAAAAAUAAAAAAAAUGGACUGGGCUGGGCCUGUAUUGGCCUAGCCACAAGGCUGGACUCAGCCCAGCCGCGUGGGCUGGGCUGAUGUUCCAACCUUUAGUUAAUAGGGCUGGACUCAGCCCAGCCAGGUGGGCUAGGCUGAUGUUCCAGCCCGGAGCAAAAAGGGACUGGACUCAGCCCAGCCGCGUGGGUUGGGCUGAUGUUCCAGCCCGCCGGAGAAGGAAAGAAACCCAUGACUGGUUACUGUGCAUGAGCACAGUAACCAGUUAAUUAAUGAGUCGGUUACUAUGCGCAUGCACAAUAACCGACUAAUUAUUUUCUUCUUGCAUGCAGAACGUGCAUAGUUCUGCAGACAAGAAGAUGAAUUAGGACCGGCGGCUAGGGGAGAAGAAGAAUUACCUGAGGCGGUGAUCUCGGGCGAUUGAGCUGGCGGUGAUGCUGGUGGCUGUUCUCGGUGGCGCUGCGGUGGCGGUGACAGUGAGACCCAGUGACAACAGCGACACUUCUUCUCCACUGUGCAGAGACACCGGUCGGCGUUUCCUUCCCCGCCGGUUUAUCCCUUCUGUUCUUUUUCUUCCUUCUCCCCGUUUGUCUCUCUCAGUUUCCUAGUCGAUAUCCCAUGUUUUUGUGUUUCUCAGUUUCGGUCGUUUCUCUCUCUACACAGUCAGUUUCUCUCUCUCAGUUUCCCCCCUUUUCUGCUGUUUUUCUCCUCUUUUCUUCUUUUCUUCUCUUCUGCGUUCGGGUGGUAUUUAUAGAGGCAGGGGGAGUCGGGUUGACCCUACCCCAUCCCAUCGCCGCCCAUGCAUGGGGUGCACGUCGCCUGCUCUGCCACGACGCCGACAGUGGUGGCCAAUGGAGGCGUCGCUUGUGGGACACAGCUGCUCUGGCAUCUCAUCAUGAGAUGGGUGGUGUCUGACUUUAGCUCUAAAGCACGUGGGAGGAAGAGACAAGGGGAAGAAAAUAAAACUUUUCUUCCCCUGCUGCACGUCCAGGGGAGGAAGAAGAAGAAACAAUACCGCCUUAAAACGGCACCGUUUCGUCCUUUUUUUUUCAAACGCAUGAAACAUCGUCGUUUUGCUUAAAACACGCCGUUUCAUUUAAAUGAAAACUGGCGCCAAAGCGCCAGAUUUCAAGCCAAUCAUUCAAUUUGCGCGCAUUUUGCAUUUUGGUCUUUGGUCUCAAAUUUCUUCAAUUAAGUCCCCAAGUGGCCAUCAAACUUCAAUAUUUAUGCAAUUAAGCCUCUGAUUUGACCAAAUUAACUCUCAAAAAUUAUAAUUUGACCCCAGAACUUUAAUUUCUUCCAAUUAAAGCCCAAAUUAACUCCAAAAUCAAUUUUUCUUUCAAUUAAACUCUCCAUAAAUUCAAUUAAAGCAAUAUAAUUUAAUUGAGUCCAUCAACAUUUGAUUUUGGACUUUUCUUUCUCAAAUUGAAUUUUCUUUGUCAACAGGGCUAUCAUCAGUUAAUAAAAUACUGUUAAAUUUUAAUUUUUGUAUUUUUAAACCUUCUCAACCAAAUUUUGACUAUUUUCUGAGCGUCUUGGCAUCCUCUUUUCACUGUUAUAUUUUUUGAUAAUAUUUUUUUGAUUUUUUUGUAUUAUUUGUUUUAAGAGAGAAUUGGGGAAUAACUCAAAAAUGGGUUAUGACAGUUGCCCCCCUCUUUACAAUACUUACGGAGCAAAGAUUUUGCGUAGUAAGUUUUAUAAAGAAGAAAAAAAGAAAAAAAGAAAACGAUCACAUUAUUUUGGGCAAUCUGCCCCUUUUGAAGAAAAUUGGUCUGUCGACUUGCCCACACACUCACACUUACCCUGGUCUAUUUUCAUGGGCGACCUGCCCACACAUAUUCAAAGUGGUCUAUUUUCAUAGGCGACCAGCCCACACACUCACGCUUACCCUGGUCUAUUUUCAUGGGCGACCUGCCCAAGUAAAAAAAUGAAGAGUGGUCUCAUUGUAAUGGAUAACCUACUCAGAUAAAAAAAAAUAUGGAGAAUGGUCGAGUUGUAAUGGGUGACCUACCCAAAAAUGAAAAAAAAAAAAGAGUGGUCGUGUUGUAAUGGGUGACUUACCCAAGUGGAGGAAUGGUCUCAUUGUAAUGGGUGACCUACCCAGAUAAAAACAUGGAGAAUGGUCGAGUUGUAAUGGGUGACCUACCCAAAAAUAGAAAAAAGAAAGAGUGAUCGUGUUGUAAUGGGUGACCUACCUAAAAAUGAAAAAAAGGAAGAAUGAUCGUGUUGUAAUGGGUGACCUACCCAGGUGGAAGAAUGAUCUCAUUGUAAUGAGUGACCUACCUAGAUAAAAAAAACAUGGAGAAUGGUCGAGUUGUAAUGGGUGACCUACCCAGGUGGAAGAAUGGUCUCAUUGUAAUGGGUGACCUACCCAGGUGGAAGAAUGGUCUCAUUGUAAUGGGUGACCUACCCAGAUAAAAAUAAAUAUGGAGAAUUGGUCGCGUUGUAAUGGGUGACCUACCUAGAAAAAAUGUUAGUCUCAUUGUAAUGGGUGACCUACCCAAGGAAAAAGAAAAGAGUGGUCUCAUUGUAAUGGGUGACCUACCCAGGUGGAAGAUUGGCCUCAUUGUAAUGGGUGACCUACCCAGAUAAAAAAACAUGGAGAAUUGGUCACGUUGUAAUGGGUGACCUACCUAGAAAAAAUGCAAAAGGCACCAAACUAUAGGGGCUUAAUUGACAAAAAUUAGGGGUAAAAUUGAAGAAAUUGAAAGUUUAAUGGUCAAUUAAGGGUUAAAUUGCAUAAAACCAAGACCACGGACUAAAGUGCAAAAGGCGCGUAAAUAUGGGGUUCAAAUUGAAGCUCGGCAAGGGCUAAUUUGCAUUAAAUCAAAAGUUUAAGGUCAAUUAGGGAUUCAAUUGAACGAAAUUGAAAGAUAAAGGACUACAUUGAAGUUGGACAAAACUCCCUAAUUUAACCCUAAACGACGCCCUUUUUCAUUUAAAAAAAAAACCUGGCGACACGUUGUCUGGUAACUGUUCAUUGUCUUCUCCAAAUUUGCCCGAAAAUGACAUCUCAGGAAGCUACUUUUAAGGUGCAUUUAAUACCUUAUAUGUCCACCAAAAUUGACAACACAUGUACCAAAAUGGUCACCUAACAUCCCUCUAUCUCCGAGUAUGGUCCAUUCAGGCCUCUUAACAUGACAUCGGCCCCAGCGCUGGCCUAAAGAAGCCAACUAAGGCAGCCUUUCUUAUAGAUUUGACAACUCACGAUGCACACUUUGAACCAAUGGUUGGGAUCCUUUCCAGCCAAACCAAAGGCCACGAAUUGGCACCAUUAAAGACAAAAUGUCCCUCUUCCACCUCCUAUAAAUAGAGGUUCAUUUCAUGGCCUAAGCAAGAAGAAAAUCAGGUACAAAAAUCAUAAAAAACCAGCCAUUCCCUUGUUUUCAUUUUCCUUCUUUCCCUGUCAGCCUUCUGCGGCAUCUUUCACAACUGCCUUCUCUGGUGAGAAUACCAACAAACCCAGCCUGUACACCACCACGAACACCAGCUCCACCAAAGGAAGCUAACACAACCACCAACCGGCUACCAAGCAACCACCAUGACUCUCUCCCUCUUCUCUUUCCAGCCUUUCUCUCUUCUCUGCAAACUUUUUCUUCCUAUAUAGUAGAACACUGGUGACCAAACUCUCCAUCAACACAACCACCAGCCUCUUGUCAACCACCUAGAUAGCAACUCCUUCUCCUCUGCCAGGUUGCCUCCCACUUCACUCCGCCGUUUGCAACAACAAAGUUGCAUGCAAAACGUGAACUUAUUAUUCACGUUCUGCAAAUAAUUCACUUCUCACCUGGGUCGGGCCAGUUCUGGCCUAGCCCAAAUGUCUUGGCCCAGCUAUCUAGGUCGGCCCAGCCCACAUGUUAUAUAUAUAUUAAAUAAAAAAACAAAACAAAAAAAUCCAAAAUUUUUCAAAAAUCAGUUCAAAAAAAUUUUGAUUUUCUCAAAUCUUUUUCUACCAAUUUUGCAUAAUAUCGGGUUGUAUAUUUACACUGUAAAAUACAGAUCUGUUAUUAAAAUAUUUUGUUUUCUCUGAAGUAUUUCAAAAAAAUUCAAAACAUUUUUUAAAAAAUCUCUAAAAGAAAAAACUUUAAAAUGAAUUUUCUUUUUCAAUUUUUUUUUAUUUUUAUACAUACAACCAAAUCCUAAAAUUUUUCAAAGCAUAUUUUUCAUAAAAAACAAAAAUUGCAUCUUUUUCAUGAUUUAAAAAAAAUUCAAAAAUGGAUAUCGUAACCAUUUUAUGAUUAUCCAUUAGGAUUCGACCAAAAUGUCAAAAACAUUUUUUUUCUCCAAUUUGUUUUUCAGAUGUAGACUUUAAUAUCUGUAGGGUGUAAAAUUACACGAUAAAAUACACCUUUAGAUAUUAAAGAUACAAGGUGUAAAUAAAUGUGAUGCUAAAAUUCAGACUUUAGAAUGGUUAGGAUUUAAUCCAAUAAGGUAGAGACUUUCUCAUGAAGUGAGAUCUAUCUUAAACGUUAGAAAAGACCAAUGAAUAGAAACCCAACCUAGAAAAACAACUAAACAAUAAUGCAGCUUACCUUAGGUAGGGUGCACUGGAGGUGAUGCGUCUUCCCCUUGCACAACCAGUCCCUUACCCAGACUUUUGUAGACCAUAGGUUCCUAGUAACCAUAAUAUUAGAUGGCGACUCCUAAACAUUAAUAAUAAUUUUAUGAUUAAAUUCAAAAACCCUUCCCAAUGCACCACACCUCAUCGGGAGGCAUGACAAAAGCGUCCACCAACCCUAGACGACGUUGCGGUGCGACCUCGUGACAAUGAGGAUGACAUUGGUGCCUAAUUUUGAGGAGGAUAAAGAGGCUAUUAUGACUAAAUUCAUGAAUGACCUUAAUCGUGAUAUAACAUAUAUUAUGGAGUUACAACAUUAUUUAGAGUUUGAGGUGAUGGUGCAUGUGGUUUUGAAAAUGGAGAAACAACUUAAAUAGAAGGUUAUCAUUUGAAAAAGCCAACCAUUAGGCCAUUUGACACCUUGAAGAAAACUGACACUGAGGUUGGUUCAUCACAGUUGAAUAAGAAGGGUAAGGUUGAAUACCUUAGAAAGAAGAAAGAUAUCUUGGUCAUUGGUAAAGGUAUUAAGGAUAUUCGUACUUCUCGUAAUCGUGAUAUUAAAUGCUUUUGUUAUUUGGGUUUUGUUCAUGUUGCUUCAUAGUGUCCAAACAAAAGAGUCAUGGUUAUGAAAGCAACUAAUAAGGUGAGACUAAUAAGGAGGAUGAAGAUGUCACCAUUAACAGAUGCUGAUGAUGUUUGUGUUGAGUAUCUGAUUAAGAAAGAGACACUUGUGGUGAGGAGAGCAUUGAAUAUGCAUGUCAAAGUGGAUGAUUUGAAAGAUCAAAAGGAGAACAUAUUCCGAGUGAGAUGCCAUGUUCAGAAUAAGGUGUGUAGCUUAAUAAUAGAUCGUGAUAGUUGCACUAAUGUAGUUAAUACUGAAUUGGUGAAAAAGUUUAACUUGCACACAAUCAAACAUCUCAUACCUUAUAAAUUACAAUAGUUGAAUGAUAAUGGUGAGGUGAAGGUGAAUAAUUUUUUUAUAUAUUGUUAAAUAUUGUGAUGAGGUAUUAUGUGACCAUUAUGCCAAUGCGAGCUAGUUAUUUGUUGUUUGGUAGACUAUGAUAAUAUGAUAGUAGAGUUAUGCAUUAUGGAUUGAUAAAUAGAUAUUCCUUUGAAAUGAAUGAAAGGCCUAUAAUUCUUGUGCCUUUGACACCUAAGCAAAUAUAUGAUGAGCAAAUAAAAUUAAAGACGGGGAAGAUGGGUGAAAAAAAGAAAUUAUAUACCAACAAGACCUUUUUUGCUAAUAAAGUUCUUUCAGGAUUUGAUGAUAAUGUUAUUUUUUGAUUUAGUACUGAUUUGUUUUAUUUAGGGGAUGAUCUUCGUAUUAUAGAUUCGAAGAUGAAUAUUUUCAAAGAGGGAGGAGAAGAUACAAACCAAGUUAGGUACUAUUUUUUCCUUAAAAUACUUAUUGAUCAAUUUUGCGAAAUUAGAUAUAUCUCUCAAACUGUAUAUCAAAUCAAGCUAAAAUUUUAUAGGAAGAUACUAAAAAUAUGGAACUAUAUUUUGAUAAAUUUCAGGUCAAUAAGAUUUUGAAAAAAAUAUUAUUUAAACUGGUCAAAGUUGUUGUUACUGUCUUGAUAGAUUCAUCGAUAAAGUGUUUUUUCUUAACUAUUUUUGGCUUAAUCAGUCCAGACCAGUAAUGGGUUAAUUUUAGACAAAGAAAGAAAUUAAACGAGGCUUAUUUAGGCCUUAAGCUGGUUCUGGGCAUGGGAUACAAAGGUUGCUAAUAUGGCUUAGAUUCAUUGAAGAAUUGAAGUGUAACACUCUGUAAUUUAGUACAAUUUCACAUGGACUUGAUAUGACAACAUCUAAGGAGAUCUUUCUUUUAGGUUUCUUUUUCUUAUUUUGUUGGUAUUCCUAGAACAUCAAGGAGACUAAGAGUAGGCAACAUAAAGAAGGAAAUUCUAGCAAUCAAAACAAAGUUUCCUAUUUGAAUACCUACACUAAAAGUUUUGGCCAAAACACUACCUAGAAGAGCUUGGAGAUUCCAGCUACAUGGAUAAAUUCUAGUAUGAAGACUUUAUUUUUAGUAUCCUAUUUUAUUUAUUUGAUGUUGAAGAAUUAUUUUUAAUUUGGGUUUGUUCUAACCCAUUAGACUUUGUUUAAGAGUUUAUUUCAUUAUUGGCCUUAUGUUAGUUGAUUCCUAGUUUAGACCCAUUAGUUUAUAACUCAAAAGGGGUCCAUUAUAGUUAUUUAAAGGAGACUAUAUAAUGUUUUUGGAGCUGCAAAUCUUAGAAGCUUGAUGAUAAUAAACGUGAGUUUUUUUUAUUAUUAUUGUUUGUGGUAAAACAUCCUUUCUUUGCAUGGACAAAAAUCAUCCAUUCGACUUAUUAAAGAUUAACUGAGUUCAUGAUGUCAUUCGCAUACUUCUGUCUUUUAAGUACAAGGUUAUAUUUGGAUCCAAGUUUAUUCUAAUACCUUUGGUUAAUGUAUAAGGUUACCUCUGGUUCAGAGUUCUAUCAAACCUGGUUUUUAGCUUUUCAAGUUGUAUUUCAACUUUGUUAGGAGUUAUUUGACCACGUGAUUAAGAGUUUUACAUCAAUAUGUUUCUAAGCCUUAUGGGAUUUAACUUCAAUCUAUCUCCUAGAUACUCGUUCAUAAAAAAAAUAAUCCUAUAAUAAUGCAAUCCAAACAACACUAAAGGAUCUAUUAGAGGUUUCAGUUGGUACAGUGACAAGGCUUAAGGCUAAGAGGUUUAAAGAGGCUUUCAACGGACUUCUUUGAGAUACAUGGGCUAAGGUGGAAUUUAAAAGGGUAAUGAAUAAUAAAGAGCAAGCCUUGAUUAAUAUAAUUCAUGUUCAAGAAGGGCUUGUUGGUGGAACCAAGGCCAUUACACAAGGAUUGAAAUAAGAAGACUCAAAUCGGACAGUUUGAUCUUUCGAUAUAGUUUUGAUCAUAACUGGAGCUGCAAAGUCGAUUUUGAUUAUAUUCUUGUUAGGCUGGAAACUAGAUUUCCAUACAUUUUCAAUUAUAUAUGGAACACCAUUAAUUCUUUAAGAUGAGAUAAAACUAUUCGUUUAAAGUUGAUCUUUGAUGCUGCCAGUAGAUUACGAGAAAAACCGAUCUUGUCUUAUUUUAAUUAGAUGAGCUAUUGAUCUAUCUUUGUUUUGUGCGACAAUACUUGUUUAAGUUUCAAGCUUGUUUAUUUUAUUUAUUUUAAUUAGUAUAUGCUAGUUUUAGAUUGGUUUGGGUAUUAUUUAAACUGAGUUUAUAUGUAACCCAUUAGAGAAACUAGAGUUACUUAGCUUUCUAGUAGAAGUACUCUUUGUGAAGAAUUCUUCAAGAAUAGAUUUUUUUUUCAGAAUAAAAUAUUGUCUCUCUUGUUUCUUGAUUGAACUUUAACUCUUUAAAGAAUUGAUCAAUCUUUGUUAUUGAUUUUAUACUUUUUUUGCUCGUCUCUAGGAGUAAGCGUUGUGAUAGGGUGAUUUAUAGUUUUGUUGCCUUGGAGUAAAUCUUUCAUUAUGAUAAGCUCAAUUUCAUACUCAAACUUGAAUUAGAUGGAUCUUGGGUUUGUGAAUUCUAUUAAGUUCCGCUAGACUUCAUCAUAUGAUCAUGAACACAUUAAUUCUCAUUAUUUAGAAAUGUACAAAUUAUAAAUAAUUAAUUAAAAAAAUUGAGAGUUAUGUUUAGUUAAAUGUUGAAUUUUUUUUAUUAACUCAUAAAACUAAAACUACAUUUAUAUCCACAAUCUUUUUUUUCUCAGUGCAUAAGAUGUGAGACUUCGCUUGGUUGGUUAUUUUGAUGACUAGCUGAUGUGAGACUUGUGGUAGUUUUUAUGGUUGUGGUUUGAAAAAAAUUAUUUUAUAAAAAAAACUUUUAGUUGAGGUUGGUUUAGUAAAAUAUAUGUUUGGUUUAAACUGUGGUUGAAAUUGAGGUUAAACAAAAAAUAGUUUAAUAUGUUUGGUUAAGAAUGCUUUUCAAAUUGAGGUUAUAAAAUAAUUAAAAAAGACAUAUAUUAAUAUUAAUAGUUUUUAAUUGAAAUAUUAUAGAUUUAAUUAAAUUUAUACAACUAUUUCAUUCUACUUUAUUAUUUAAUAAAUUAAAAAACUGGUUUUUUGUUGUUGACAUCAAGCACACUGGAUGCAGUUCUAUUCAAACACAAACAUUUUAGAUCUAAUUUAUAGCUUUUUUUUAUUUAUACGGUUGGUUCUUGAAGAAAUGAAAAUUAUGAAGGUUGUUUUGGUUGGUGUCUUCAACAAUAAACAUGAAGCAGCUAAAAUAAAAAACGCAGGACUGGAAGCAUGUAAAAAUUGCUUCAUCAAAAUCUCAUUUAUUGAUGGAUCCCAUAAACCAAACCACAGUAUUAUUUUGUAACCUAACACUAUAUAAUUGAGGUUAGGGAAAAACGUGAUAGUUGCUGCGGAAACAAUUCUCUCAGUAUGUGAAAAUUAACUUAAUUAAAUUUUAUUAAUCCAAUAAGUCAAUCCAAGACUCAAUUAACCUUGUCAAAUUCUAGUUUAAUUAAAAAAAAUUACAUUAUUUUAACUUUUUUUUAACUGAUUCAUAAAAGCCCGAUUAACCUACUCAAUUAACCUUGUCAAAUUCUAGUUUAAUUUAAAAAAAAAUUACAUUAUUUUAACUUUUUUUUAAAUUAACCUACUCAAUUCAAUUCAUGACUUUAACAGAGUCAUACACGGAACCAACGAAAACAGGAAUUAUGAAGCAUUAAUGCCGACUAGGUAGGAAAGAGAAUGGUCCCUGCCAUUAAUAUUGGGUUGGCUAAAACUCUGUUAUUGUAGUGCACAAGUCACCGCCCUCUAACAACCAUUUUCCUAGUUGAAAUCGUCUUCUAGAAAUUAUGUACAUGCCAGUAGCUCUUCCGCUACCGAAUUUUUUAUUUCAAGCUGAAUAAUUAGUUACUGAAUUAGUUGAGUUGGUGCCAGCCAUAGUAAUUGGCAGCACACUCUAGCUAGCACUAACACAUUACACCCUUUUCUUCUCAAUCUAUAUAUAAAUACCAAACCUUUGUUUUCACUUCGUCACCCAUCUUUUCAUAUCCUUCUCUUCAUUGUUUGCUUUAGAAAAAAUCAUGGAAGUUCUCACAUUCACUGAGGAGUUCUCCAGCCCCGCCGCGGCUAAAAGGUUGUUCACGGCCAUGGUACUUGAGGCUGACACCCUCAUUCCCAAGCUCGUGCCGCAGGCUGUGAAGAGUAUUGAAACAAUCAAAGGAAAUGGAGGCCCUGGGACUAUCAAGAAGUUGACCUUUGCCGAAGGCUAGUUACUUUUCACUUUUUUAUUCAGUAGAACAAAAUAUUUAAUUAAUUGCAACAUAAGGAGAAGUACACAUUGACAAAAUUGUCAUCUUUGUUCCUUUUCUUAUGCAGGUAAGUAUGCGAAGACCAGGAUUGAUGCAGUGGACAAAGUCAACCUGACUCAUAGCUACACAACAAUUGAGGGUGUUCCUUUGCUGGGCAAAUUUGAAUCAAUUGCUUAUGAUAUGAAGUUUGAGGCCACCCCUGAAGGAGGAUGCAAAACUAAAGUGGUGUGCAAGUAUUUCCCAAAACCAGGUGCUGAAAUAAAGGAAGAGGAAAUUAAGGAAGGCAAGGAAAAGGCUGCAGCAGUUUACAAGGCUGUGGAAACCUACGUAGUUGCAAAUCCUCAGGCCUACGCAUAAUGAGACUGCGAUGAGACACUCCGAGACACCACUUAGCGAUGCAUUAGACUAUCUAAUCACUAUAGUCUUGCCAAAUAAAAGUAGCUUCUGCCAAUUUCUAAUAAAUAAUAACUAUGAAAGCAAGUGUUUUACAUCUUUUCAAUUCCUGAAAGAAAAUUCCCAUAAUGCUUUGUGUGUGAAGGGUAUGCUCACACUGUAUAGGAAAAAAAUUGACUUCACUACACAUGCAAAACUCUCUCUUUAUCAUAUGUUACCAUUAAAAAAAUUCGAUGUGGACUAAAUUGUAAUAGUAGUUGUUGAUGCUUUUUUGUAGAAUGAAUGCUUGUUGCUUCACGGGAAAGAUCGAUUAAUUUUAAGAAUAAAUGGUUUGUCUCUUUUAAUUCUAACACUACCUCAAAGUUUCAAAAAUGAAAUCUACUUUUGUGAUUCAUCUCUAGAUUCAUUGAAUUUCAGUAAGAAAUAAAAUAUAAUAUAUCAAUUAAAGGUAAUAAUCUCGGAGGGUUUAUAAUUAUAUCAAUUAAAGGAAUUUUUAAAAACUUGGAGGGGAUGUGGCCUCCUUUAGUCUAUACUAGUAUAUUGCCCCGCGCUUUGUCACAGGUUAAUAUUAAAUUUUUUUUAAAUGUAAAAAAAUAUAUUAAAUAUAUAAAGAAUGUUUUAAGCGUUUUAAGUUUGACAAUCAUAUAUGACCCAAGUCUUUUAAGUCUGACAGUCAUGCAAAACCCAAGUACCUCGAAUCUGGCAUGGGUGGCAGACCCAAGAAACUCGGGGCUGGUAUGGUUUGCCACCCUAAGACGCUUUAAUCUGGACCCAUGCGUCUAGGCCUAGCAAUCAUACUAGACCCGCGCGUCUGGGUUUGACAACCAUAUCUUUUCUUUCAAAUUCGUUAAGUCUUCCAUUCUGGAGGGCUCCAUAUCUUUUCUUCCUAACAGCAUGUGAUGAAAUGAUGGACUCUUUCAUAUAACAAUAGAUGUCAUACAGUUGGGUAGAAGAAGCACUUAAAAAACUAAAUAAAUUGUAUAAUGAAACUAAACACAUAUAGUCCAGUGUUGUUAAAAAAAUAUAAAAUAAUAUUGUCAUCGGUGAAAAAUCACAAGCGACCGCCCAUUAAAUAAAUGUUUUUUUGCAUUGAGUUUGAUUAAUGUGUGUAUAUAUAUAUAUAUAUAUAUAUAUAUAUAAUAAAAAUUCACAAAAAAGAGAGAAAAAAAGAGAAGAUAUAAUUUCUAUUAAAGUAAUAACAAAUUCAUAAACAUAAAAAACAAACGAUUUCAAUCGGAAGACAUGAUUUGAAUUUUUAGAUCUAAAACGUUAGAUUAGAUUUUUGUGAUGAUUUGUUGUUUAUAAAUAAAUUCUGCACUUGGAUUUCUGUUAAGAAUAUUUUAAGGAUACUUUAAAUGUUUUUUUAUAAAAAAUAAAAAAAUUAUAAGUCUCAACAUUUUAAUUAUCACCUACUCAGAUUCUGAUAAGCACUACACCUGAUUCAUAUAUAUAUAUAUUAAAUAGGCCUGGACCCGAGCCCAGACACACCUUAACAAAGCUACCAAAGUCGCUUGGACCUGGCAUGGCUGCCACACCUAAGGCUCUUGGGUCUGGCAAGCAUGUCAGGCUUAAUUUUCUUGGGUCAGACACCAUGCAUGGUUGCCAAACCGCACCUGGGUAUGGCAUCAAACAUGGUUUACCAGACCCAAGGUUGUUGAGUCUCGCAUUGUUGCCAUACCCAAGUAGCUUAGGUCUGGCGUGGUUGGUUUACCCAAGGUACUUGGGUCUGGCAACUCAUGUCAAAUACAAGCAAACAACAAACAAACAAAGAAUAAAAUGAUGUAUUUUAAUUAUUUAACAGUGUUAAAGGUCAAAAAACCCCUUGACAACGAGUCUUAAUUUUGUUAACCAUGGGGAUAGAAUACUAUUUUUACUAUGCAAAUAAUCGUCAAAAGAUUAUCAUACCUUCACUGAAAUGUUUAAUAUCAAUGAGUCUAUAAGAAAUACUAAAAUACGCCCACAACUAGAGCUUCAAUUUUUUCAACCAAUGGGGAAAAUAAAACUUUAACUUUAUAUGAAAAGAUAAUAUUAGCUCCAUCCCAAGUCUUCAGAGCUUAAAAAAUCCACUAUGCAAGUCUACAAUGGACUUUGUCUUAGUCCACAAUACACUUGCACAAGAUUGCUAACCCCACAAAGCUUGGGUCUAGCAACCAUGCCAGACCUGCGCCUGAGUCUGGCACCAAACAUGGUUGCCAGCCCCCGCCUGGGUCUAUCACCAAACAUGGUAGUCAGACCUAAGAACCUUGGGUCUUGCAUGUUUUUUAGACCCAAGGUGCUUGGGUUGCCAGACCGAAACAAAUAACAAAUAAACAAAAAAUAAUUGUGUAAUUUAGUUGUUAGGAGAGAGAAAAAAAGAAAAAACACAAACAAUCGAUCAUUGACGACAAUUCAACCAUGAUAUGUCUACAUGCACCGUACCAUAUGGAAAAGGGCACAUCUGCGCAUCUAGUUAUAUGGUGGAUGGCUAGAUUUGGCAACCGAGAAGCAUCUCACACGCCUCCUUAAUGGUGCGAGUGUCGCCCACUCACUGGGUCAUGUGGAACAUGCGACAAUAGCUUUUCAAUUAAAAAAUAAAAAAUACAACGUAAAAAUACUAAAACGUCCCCAUGGUCCUCUUAAUUACACAACAUACCCAUGUAAAUUUCACGAUCGCAAUCCACAAUAAUCUGUGUCUAAAGCUACAAAGAAAACCCCACACUAUUUAGCUUUCUUUACAAUUAUGCUUGCCUCUAAAUAGAAGGCGACAGUUGUAGUAGUAAAAGUAGGGUGAAGAUAACAUUUAUUGCAAUUAUAAUGGUUGAAAUAGUUUUUAUACUUGUUGAAAUAGUUUGAAAUACAUGUCAUACGGUGACAUCGAGGGCUUGUUGUAAAAAUCAAUGGAAUCACCAUUUAAAUUUUUCACUGUAAAAAUUUAGAAAGUAAACGCUACCAGAAAUUCGCUAAAUACCAACGGAUUUACCGACGGAAUAUUUCGGUCGGUAAUUUGAGGUCGGAAUUACCGACGGAAACUUUUCCGUCCGUAAUUCAGUCGGUAACUACCGACGAAAACUUUUUCGUCCGUAAUUCUGUCGGUAACUACCGACGGAAAUAUUCCGUCGGUAGUUACCAACGGAAUUACGGACGGAAAAGUUUCCGAAUUAAAAAAAAGGCGGGUCGCUGAAGUGGAGGUUUUGGCGGGUCAUUUUUUUCCGACGACAUCACCGACGGAUUCAAAAACGACAGCCCGUACAGUGACGUGACCGGUGCGCUGUUUACAUUACCGACGGACUCACCGAGGGAUUUGAAAUGGCAGAUCCGUACGGUGACGUGUCUAUGUUUCCGUCAGAAUCACAGACGUGAUCACCGACGGAAUAUCCGUCGGUGAAUCCGUCGGUAAAAGUUAAUAUAUGUCAUCUCUGCCGACCCUCUCCUCCCCUAUUUUUCCUUCUUCUUCUUCCUAAUCCCAACUCUCCCCAUCUGCAAACAACCAGCCCCCCCUCCCCCCUAAAAAAAAGUCUUCCUCAUAUCAGCACAACAAGUUAUAUUUCUUGAAGUUUUGUGGUCACAGCAUCCGUGUUCUGAUUUACCGAAGGAUUUUAUCAAUUUUUGUAAGUAAUUCUUUCUUUUUAAAUUUUAAUAUUUAAUUAAAUGUCAAUUAUAUUUUAUCAUUUUUUUAGUAUAUGUAUUUUGUUAGCAAAUGUACAUGUUUUAUUGUUAUUUCUCAAACAAACUUGUAGUAUAUGAAUAUAUAAUUCUAUACCUGUUAUGGUUUGUUUUAGAUUUUGUAAGAUUGUAUUUGUUUGUAAACUGUUAAAACUUUAUGGAACUACCGAAGUACAUGUGCUGUUUUGAAAUAAUUAAUAGCUUACUUAAUGGGUCCGUUUAAAGUUUUGUCAAUGGUAUUGCGGAGUGGUAAUUUCUGUAAAUUUAUAUAUUUUAAUUUGAAUGGACGUUGAUAAAUGAUAAUGAAUAUUUAAUAUUUAUGAGAAGUUGUGAUUGGUUUGUUGGAUAAUCUCGAGGUAAAGUAAUAUUUUUGCAAGUUUAUUUACCUAACUUAGUUAAUUAAUACAUUAUGUCAUCAUAAUUUUAUAGAGGUUCGAUAUAAAUCAUGGAUGAUCGUUCAUGGAUGUAUCGAGAUUCACCCCAAGGAUUGCGGAGGAUGGAUUAUUGUAACGGGGUUCAGGGUUUUAUUAAUUUCGCAAUAUCUAUUCCUAGAAAUUUUACUGGAGGCGGAAUUAGGUGUCCAUGCAGGAAGUGUGAAAAUAAAAAGUAUCUGCAUCAAGAUGUUGUAAUGAUGCAUCUUCUACACAAAGGGUUUAUAGAGAAUUACCAGUGUUGGUAUGCACAUGGAGAAGUAUUUGUUAGCGAGAGUGAGAGGAGAAUGGAAGAAACGGUGGUUGGGUCUACUUCUAGUGCAAGCAACGCCGUGCAUGAAGCGGCAAAUGACAACACUAAUCCUUACAGAAAUAUGGUUAUGGAUGCAAUGAGAAUGAAUCAAGGUAAUGGCAGUCAAUGUCCAAUCAUAGAAGAAGAACCUAAUGCAGAUGCAGCUAGGUUUUUUGAUUUGUUGAAAGAUUCUAACGAACCAUUAUGGGAUGGCUGCACGAACCACAGUAAAUUAUCGGUCGUAGCACAGGUGUUCACCAUCAAGUCAGAUCACGGGUUGAGUGAGGCCGGGUAUGACAAGAUUAUUGAAUGGGCAAGAAGCAUUUUACCUGAAGGGAACAAGCUGAAAGAGAACUUCUAUGCUGCGAAGUCCAUGAUGAAACCCCUCGGUUUAGGAUACCAAAAAAUUGACAUGUGCCCUAACUUCUGCAUGUUAUACUACCUUGAAAAUGCUGAGAUGACCGAGUGCAUGACAUGCGGGCAUUCCCAUUACAAACCUAGAACUGGCAGGGGAAAGACUCUAGUGGCAUAUAAAAAACUUAGAUACUUCCCGAUCACACCUAGACUGCAGAGGUUAUUCAUGUCACCAAGGACUGCUGAGCACAUGACAUGGCACCAAGCACACCAUGCGGUUGAUGGAGUGAUGGUUCAUCCUUCUAACGGCGAAGCGUGGAAACUUUUUAACAGUGUUCAUCCUCACUUUUCAGCUGAAUCAAGGAAUGUGCGUCUUGGGUUGUGUACAGACGGAUUCAACCCAUUUGGGUCAUUUGCUGCUCCUUAUUCUUGUUGGCCGGUCAUACUCACAGUUUAUAACUUGCCACCGGGAAUGUGUAUGAGGCUGGAGUUCAUGUUUUUAUCUACUGUCAUACCCGGUCCAAGAAGCUCGGGGCAGAAUAUAGAUGUUUGUCUUCGACCGUUGAUUGAUGAGUUGGCGCAGUUGUGGUCCUCCGGAGCUCUGACUUAUGAUAUAUCGAGGAAACAAAAUUUCCUUAUGAGGGCGGCAUUGAUGUGGACUAUCAAUGAUUUUCCAGCUUAUGGAAUGCUUUCUGGUUGGAGCACGCAUGGGAAACUCGCAUGUCCAUACUGCAUGGAAAACAACAAGGCAUUCACGCUAGCAAAUGGAGGUAAAGCUUCUUUUUUUGACUGUCACCGUCGCUUCUUGCCACUUCAUCACAGGUACAGAAAGAACAGAAAAGAUUUUUUUGUUGGCAGAGUUGAAAAAGAUGUUGCAUCCCCGCGUCUUUCUGGUGAAGAAUUGCAUGAUGUUGUCUCAGAGUACGGUGACAUUGUGUUUGGCCUUCAAUCAAGUAAGCAAAAGUUUCCUGGUUUUGGUUUGACCCAUAAUUGGGUAAAGCGAAUUAUCUUUUUUGAGCUUUCUUAUUGGAAGACCAAUCUGCUCCGCCAUAACCUUGACGUCAUGCACAUCGAAAAGAACAUGUUUGAGAAUAUUUUCAACACCGUCAUGGAUGUGAAGGGGAAGACAAAGGACAACAUCAAGGCUAGAUUGGAUAUAGCUUUAUAUUGUAACCGUAAAAAUAUGGAGUUGGUUUAUGAUGAGUCACGGGUCGCAAAACUAAGAGCAAGCUUCGUGUUAGAGAAAAACGCACAACUGCUAGUCUACAAAUGCCUUAAGAGUCUGCGUUUUUCGGAUGGACAUGCAUCGAACAUAUCAAGGCUGGUUAAUAUAGAGGACUACAAAUUGUAUGGAAUGAAGAGUCAUGACUGCCACUUGUUUAUACAAACACUCAUCCCAUUAGCUUUUCGUGAUUUGUUGCCAAAGGGAAUAUGGGAUGCACUCACGGAGAUCAGUCAUUUCUUCAGAGAUAUAUGCUCCAGCAAGUUGAAUGUUGAUCACAUUGAUAGGCUUCAAACGAAUAUCGUCGAGACACUAUGCAAACUUGAGAUGAUAUUCCCUCCAUCAUUUUUUGACUCAAUGGAGCAUCUCCCUAUACAUCUACCGUUCGAGGCAAAAGCUGGAGGACCGGUCCAGUAUAGAUGGAUGUACCCUUUCGAACGGUUAGAUAUUACAGUUGCAAUGUAAUUCAUAUAUAAAAGUAUUUUAUAUGUUUUUCUUAAUUGAAAAUACUUGAUUAAUAUUUCAAUGCAGGUACUUGUUUAAUCUCAAGAAAAAGGUUAAGAACAAGGCGCAUGUUGAGGCUUCGAUAUGUGAGGCCUAUAUUGUUGAGGAGAUCUCAACAUUUAUCUCGUACUAUUUCGAACCUCAUCUGAGAACGAGAAUCAAUCGCGUUCCACGGCAUGAUGAUGGCGGUGAAGUGCCUUCCAGUGGGAACUUGUCAAUAUUCUCCAAUACUAGACGACCCACACCUAAAAAUGCCGUAAGAGGAAGAUAUUUGUCGGAAAUAGAGUUCAAACAAGCACACAACUAUGUUCUAUUUAACUGUGAUGAGCUGAGACCUUUUAUUCAGUAAGUUUAUACUAAUUAGACUUUGUUAGUAAUAUACUGUUAAUUAUAUAUUGUAAUAUCAUACAAUCAUUAUCACUUGCAGGCAACAUCGACAAUAUUUGCUCUCCAAUAACUCACAGCUGACCGAAUCCCAGAUCUUUCAAUUACAAGAUGAGCAGUUUGCCACGUGGUUCAGAACACAUGUAAGCACUAUCACAAACUCAUUCUAACUUGCAAAAUUACUGUACGUAUGCAUGUCAUUACGAGAUUCUCGUUCAUUUACUGUUUAUUGAUGUACAUUACAUACAAGGUUUAUCAAAUGGGAAGGAGUGCGCCUAAGUCAUUGUCUUCACUAAGCCUGGGGCCUGAAAGAAAAUGUAAGUGCUACAACGGGUAUUUUGUCAAUGGAUAUGUUUUCCAUACUGAAGAAUACGGGCAAGGUAUUGAUGUACAUUACAUACAAGGUGUUUGUGUUAAGGGAUCCCCUAAGUCAUUGUCUUCACUAAACCUGGGGCCUGAAAGAAAAUGUAAGUGCUACAACGGGUAUUUUGUCAAUGGAUAUGUUUUCCAUAUUGAAGAAUACGGGCAAGGAAGAAAGACAUACAACAGCAGUGUUUGUGUUAAGGGAUCCACUAGUAGUGAGUUAGAAGUUGACUACUAUGGUAGAUUAGAAGAAGUCGUCGAACUGCAAUAUCAUACCGAGCAGAAUAUAGUGUUUUUAUUCAAAUGCUAUUGGUAUGACACGACUGACAGAGGAAUCAGAGUUGAUCCGCACUAUGGUCUGGUCGAAAUCAACUCAAAAGCUAGACUCCGCAACAUAAACGAUGUCUUUGUUUUCGCAAAGCAAUGUCAACAAGUUUAUUACACAUACACCCCUUCAUUUAGAAAGGAUCGAUCAAGAGUGGAUUGGUUGUCCGUUUUAAAAACGAAACCCCGGGGUCGUGUCGAGGUUGUUCAGGAUGAGAAUGAAGACACAAGUGUGCGAGAUGAAGUCUUUCAAGUUAGUGAGGUGGUUGAACCAUAUCGAGUUGCUCCUUCGAUUGAAUUGGAAGAAAAUUCAAAUUUUCGUGUUUUCGAUGAUAGUCUUGUUGAUGUUGACGCAGAGGAGUUGAAUUUUGUUUUGAGCUCUAGCGGACAAGCAAAUAUCGAUGAAGAAGAUGAUAUUCAUAUUGAAGAUUGCGAUGAAGGUGAUGACAAUUCAAUUGAUGACGAAGAAGAAGAAAAUUCUGACUAACUACCAAAAUGAAGCCCUAUGUAAAACCCUUUUUUUCAUGUAAUUUAGAUUAUGGAUGAUAUAUUUUGAAACACAAAAUAUUUAUUACUUGAAAUAAUUACUUGAAAUGCCACAAUUACUAAAUAAUUACUUGAAAUAAUUAUUGAUCAUGGAUGAUAUAUUUUGUAAAAUGAAAUAAUUACUUGAAAUGCCACCAUAUCACUGACGGACACACCGACGGACUUAAGUCCGUCGGCAUUUCAUAGAGAGUUCGCAAAUAAUUACUUAAAAUGUCACCAUAUCACCGACGGACACACCGACGGACUUAAGUCCGUCAGCAUUUCACAGAGAGUUCGAAAAUAAUUACUUAAAAUGCCACUAGAUCACCGACGGCCUUAAGUCCGUCGGCAUUUCACAGAGAGUUCGAAAAUAAUUACUUGAAAUGCCACCAGAUCACCGACGGCCUUAAGUCCGUCGGCAUUUCACAGAGAGUUCGAAGAUAAUUACUUGAAAUGCCACCAGAUCACCGACGGCCUUAAGUCCGUCGGCAUUUCACAGAAAGUUCGAAAAUAAUUACUUGAAAUGCCACCCGAUCACCGACGAAUUUAAAUCCGUCGGUAAGUUGUCGGCGGGUCAAUUUUACCGAUAAAAUUACCGACGGACCGCGCGAAUUUCAAAGGGUUGUGCAUUAAAUGCGCCUCUGACCGCGUCAUCUUGCCAACGGAAUUACCGACGGACCACGAAAAAUAUGGAGGGUCAUUAAAAAUUUUGGUGCGAAAUUCAAAAUUUACCGACGGAUUUUUAACACAUCACCAACGGAAUAAAUUAAAAUAAUAAUUAAUUUUAUAUCCGUCGGUGAAUCCGUCGGUAAAACUGCCAUAUAAGUUCAACUGACCGCCCGUUCAGUUCAUUUUUUCUUUUCCUUCGUUUCUCACCUUAAAAUUUUGAUUUUUUUCCUCUCAAUUCUUCAAAGCUUUCACCUCCAAUCUCUAGCAAGUUUUCUUCAUCAUCUUCAUCAGUUUAAAAGGUUAGUGUUUCCUCUAUUUUAUUUUACUUUAAUGGUAUUUUUUUGGUUAUUUUUUGGUUAUUUUUUUUGUUUUGGUGUAUUUUUUGUAAUGUAGAUAAAGUCUAUAGUUUUUUUUGCAUAAUUCAUUGCUAAUGUCUAUAGUUUUUUUUUUGAAUUUAUUGAAUAAUUUUUAUUGUUGUAUUGGCAUAAUUAUUAGUAGUUAAUUUGUUGAAUAUUUAUUGUUAAUGUUGAAUUUACCAUAGAAUUAGUAAUUGAAUAUGUUGGAAUAAUUAUUAGUUUUACUCUAUUAUUGCAUGAUUUGUGUUUAAUUUUUUCCAUUUAUUUUGAUUGUUAUUCUAGAGUUUUUUUUUAAUUUAUUGUUUUGUUGUAUUGGCAUAAUUAUUGAAUAAUUACUUGAAUUGUAAUUCUUAAUGUUGAAUUUACCUUAGGAUUAGUAAUUGAAUAUGUUGGAAUAAGUAGUAUAGAUUGGGUAAAUUGGUUAUGGCUAUUGUUAAUAUGUGCAAGUUUGUGGAUUUGGGUAGUAUCCGGUAUAGGGGAGGUGUUGUCGAAUUUUUUUUUUGACAUUUGAAUUUAAUUAUAUAAGUAUUUGUAUAAAAUUGUGUAGAUGCGUAAAACGAAAACCAGAGCUGGUCGCUCAAGUAGGUUCGCAGCUAGUUCGUCUAGCAGCGAGGAUGAUAUUUCCUUAGGUGCCUCUUAAGAAGAGGCACCUACACCACCUGCGCCGUCAACCGAUGCUGCUUCUUCCAGCGGUACUUCACAGCGCAGAGGCGGCGUGCCUUCGCAGCGGAAUCAAUUUACCCGCAAGUACAAGGCACAGUGGAAGGACGACCUUUCAAUGUAAGUUUGUUAAGGUUUUAGUUUUUUUUUUUAAAAAUUACAACAUAAUUUAUGAAGUAAUCACUAUUGAAUUUAUUUCAUUUAUUUUCAGGUUCACAAACAUUGAAGCCGCCCGAGUAAUAUCAUCGGCGUUUAAAUCGUCGAUGGAGAUUCCAUUGUUUCAAUGGAGUCAGAUAUCCAAGCAUCCUGAAUGGAUGCCUCAAAUCAAUGCAUGGUUUGGCAGAUUUCAGGUUGGUGUUAAUUUAUAAUUUUCAGCUUAUUUCUAAUAAAUUAUUAAUAUAAUUGUAAAUAAAUUAUUGUUUUUAUUUAAACUUGUUUAUUUAUACACAGCACAAAUUCUGCUGGGACAGUGAGCAUAACACUGUUGUGAGGAGGGUGUGGGAAAAUCACGCGGCAACUAGGUAAGAUCGAAAACAGUACAUGAUUUUUUUUAGACAAAAAUUUAUGUUUCGAAAUGUAAUUUUUGGUUGCGUGAAGUAGGUUGCGUGAUUUUUGGUAUGAAGCACAAAAAAAGGCAAAAAAAACCGCGAGGGAUAGGGGUUUCGAAGGCUGGAACGAUGUUGCGGUUUGGAGGGAUUUCAAACCGAUAUACAUCCCGGAAGAUAUAUGGCCGCACUAUCUUGAGCACGUGACGUCUGAGCGGUUCACACGACGCUCACAGUCCGGUGCUGGCAACCGGAAUCGGCCAAUUCAUGGUGGGGUGACAACGCACACUGGCGGCUCCGUUCCGUUUGCUGCACAUGCGAAACGGAUGGUAAUAUUAAUUUAAAUGAAAUAUAUCGUUAAAUUCAGUUGUUAUUAAUAUUUCUUUUUUCAUUAUAGGCUGCGUCUCUUGGACGUGAGCCGAGCCCGAUGGAGCUGUUUGUGGAGACGCAUGUGCGGAGUCAAGACCACCAGAAGGGGGCGCAACAGUUCGUUGAUAACCGUGCUCAGCAUUUCGUGGUAUGUUUGUUCAACCAUUUUAUUUUGUAAGUUAUUAUGUAAGUUAUUAUGUUUAUUGUAUUGAAUAUGAUGAUUACUUUUUUUUUAUUUUCAGGAGACGUAUAAUAAUCGGUUGAGGGAGAGAUACGGGGACAAUACUUUGACCCAUCCAGAAUUCGAUCCGGAUUUGUGGAUGGAGGUUGGCUCGUCAGGUGGACCCGAUAAAAAUCGGGUUUACGGGCUCUCCAACACUACGGCCGACAACUUGCGGUCGACACGUAGUGUUUCAACCGUUGGGAGCUCCCAAUCAAUAUCGAGCUCCCAAUCUAAGGAGUUUGUGGCCUUGCAGCAACACACUGCUCAGCUCACCGAGAAAUACGAUAACCUAAAAGCGGAGUACGCACAAUUCAGAGCGGAACAAAGAGCGGAGUCUGAGCAACUCAAAGCGUCUCAAGCACAACAAAAAGCAGAGUAUGAAGCGGCUCAUGAACAACAAAAAGCGACUUAUGAACAGCUUCGCGAAAUAAUCAUGAACAUGUCAAAUAGUGGAACAUGUGCGCCUAAUAUUUUUUGGCCGUAUAACCACCAGCCUCCUCCAGGAUCUCCUCCUCCUCCUCCAGUUCCACCUUUAUAUUAAUUUGUAAUCAACAUUAUUUACCUUUAAAACUUCAUUUAAUAUUUUUCUUGAAACAUAUUUAGUUUGUAAUGAAUAUUAUUUAACUUUGUUUUUUUUUUUUAUGUUUAAUAAAAAUUUUAUUUGCAUAAUUGGUUUGUAUAACAAUUAAUUUAUAUAGUUUUAUAUUAUAUAUCCUAAAUAAAUUUUUAAAAACAAAUUAAGAAAAAAACUAUUACCAAUGAUUUUACCGACGGAUUAAUUCGGUCGGUAUUUUAAACGUUCAUCGACAGACUUACCGACGGAAUUAAUCCGUCGGCAUUUGACAGUAGCUUCCACCAGUACCGACGAAUUUACAGACGGACAUAUUCGGUCGGUAUUUCAUACAUUCACCGACCGAUGUACCGACGGAUAUUUUCCGUCGGUAAUUACAAUGUCACCGACAGAAUAAAAAUCCGUCGGUAUAUUUCAAGCGGGAAUCUUUUUUUUUUGGCGCGCACGUUCCGUCUGUAAAACCGUCGGUAAAUGGUUUUUUUGUUUUUCCGACCGAUAUACCGACGGAAUGGGGAAUCACCGACGAAGGUAAAGCCGACGGACGUAUUCCGUCGGUAAUGACGUCGGUAAAAAAAUCACCGACGAACUUCUCAUCAUACACCGAUGGAAUUGUUCCGUCGGUAAAACUGUGAAAUCUUGUAGUGAAAACCUAAUAUUGGUUAUCAAAAAUCAGGUAAGGAGGUUGGUUACACCCUAAAAGUAUUUUUAUAAAAAAUUUGUCUAUUUUGUCUAAAUUCAUAGGAAAAUCAUCUAAUUUAUUUUUGAAAAUUAUGGCCUUUAAUAUAUUUUUAAAAAACUUGAGUUCAAUGAUUUCUAGAAAUAUACAUGUUAAAGAAAAGGAUAAAAAUAGAUACAUGUUCAAUUUUUUCCAAAUGAUAAAACUUAAUACUUAAGGUUGAAAAAUAUAAUUUUUUUUUACAUAGAAACAACAAAGAAAACCAAAAUUCUCCAAAUGCCCCCCCACUUUAAACACAACAUUGUCCUCAAUGUUGAAAAAAAAGGAAAGGAAUAUAAGAGAAUGACAAACAAAAAGUAAAAUGCAAUAAAUAAAAGAUAAGGGAAAAAGAAAGAAAAUUUGAAAUUUUUUUUGUUGGGUUGCCUCCCAGCGCUUUUGUUUUAUGUUAUUGGCUUGACAUAUCGCAUGCUCAUGCCUCAAAUAUUAGUUCAGUUGUAACAUCCCACAUAGAAAGAAUAGUGUGCAGAGUCAGGGCAUAAUAAGGCAGUUGGUACCUAACCUUGUAGGACGCGUUUUGGGGCCCGUGAGCUACCAGGAACAAAACCGUAAGGCGUGGAAGUCGGGUUGGGCUGAGCCAUAGCGGACAAUAUUCUGCAAGGGGGAGUGGGUCGGGCCUUACAUCAUCUAACUCAAUGGAAGUGGUGAGUUCUGUCAUCCAACAUUCAUAGAAAGUUUCAAUCGAUGCCUAUUGACCUUGAGCACUUUGUUUGUUUUUAAACUUGUAAUCUCAACAGCACCAUAAGAAAAAACAUUAGAAACAACAAAGGGUCCAAUCCAACAAGAGUGCUAGAGCGCAACUUUCCAGGAAAAAAAGUUUCAAACAUGAAUGAUAAAGAAGGACUUUGUCUCCAACAUGAAACUCUUUUCUUGUAAUCAUUCGGUCAUGAAGACUCUUGGUCUUUUUUUUUGUAAAUCCUUGCAUUCUCGUAGGCAUCAUUAUGUAUAUCUUCCAAAUCUUGCAAUUGCAACUUCCUUGCAAUCCCAACAACAUCAUAAUCCAAGUUGCAUUGCUUAAUGAUCUAAAAAACUUUGUGUUAAAGCUCCGCUGGUAGAUGACAUGCUUUCUCGUAAAUCAUGCUAUAAGGUGACAUUCCUAUAGGUGAUUUAUAAGCAGUCCGAUAAGCCUAAAGUGCAUCACUAAGUCGCAAACUCCAAUCUCGCUGGUUGCACUGUCUUCUCCAAAAUGAACUUGGUUUCUCGAUUUGAAAUUUCAGCUUGGUCAUUUGUUUGAGGAUGGUAGGUUGUGGAAGUCCGAUGAGUCACAAGGUACUUGCAUAGUGAUGUUUCUAUUGAACGAUUGCAAAAAUGAGUGUCAUGAUCGCUAAUGAUAGAUUUAGGGAUUCCAAACCUGUCAAAUAUGUGAAGUCCUGACAAAAUCUAAAACAACCUUAGCUUCGUAGUUCAUAUGGCUUCCGCCUCAAUCUAUUUGGAUACAUAAUCAACAAUAAGAAUGAUAUAAAGAUUACCAAAAGAAGAAAAUGGACCCAUAAAAUCAAUACCCCAAACAUAAAAAAUUCCACUUACAAUAAAAUUAGUUAAAGGCAUUUGAUUUUUAUGAGUGAUAUUGCCUAUUCUUUGGCAUUUUUCACAUGAUUUGCAAAAGUGAUACACAUCCUUAAAAAUAAAAGGCCAAUAUAAACUACUUUCAAGUACCUUGUGGGGUAUUCUUUUUGCUCCAAAAUGCCCACCACAAGAAUGAGAAUGACAAAAAGUGAGAAUGAAAUGAAAUUCAUCAUGUGGCACACAUCUUCCAACUACUUGAUCCGUACAAAAUUUGCAUAGAUAAGGAGUGUCCCAAAAAUAAUAUUUAGCAUCGGCUUGUAACUUAUCUUUUUGCGAUUUAGACAAACCUGAAGGGAAUUUUUUGGUGACUAAAUAGUUCACCAAAUCAGCAUGUCAUGGUCUUGUAAAGGACUGUAACGUAUACAACUGCUCGUUGGGAAAUGUCUCUUACUAUUUCGGUUUGUAUAUCCUUGGUCUGCUGUAUGCUUAAGUGAUCAGCUACAUGAUUUUUGACACCUUUUUUCAUCUUUGAACGCAAAAUCAAAUUCUUGUAAAAGCAAGAUCCACCUAAUCAAUCUUGGUUUAGAUUCUUUUUUUUUCAAAAGAUACCUCAAAGCUGCAUGGUCAGUAAAAACAACAACUUGUGUACCAAGUAAAUAGGACUUGAAAUUUUCUAGAGCAAACACCACUACAAAAAGUUUCUUUUCAGUUGUAUGGUAAUUGCAUUGCGCUUUGUCUAAUAUGCGGGAAGCAUAUGUGAUAACAUGCAAAUUAUUUCAUAUUCUUUGCCUAAAUACAGCCCCUACCGUCUAGUCACUCGCAUCAAACAUUAUCUCAAAAGGUUCAUCCUAAUUUGGUGGUUGCAUGAUGGAGGUAGAUGUGACCCACCUCUUAAGCUCAUUAUGGACACUUUACACGCUUGAUCAAACACAAAAUCCACUUCUUUGGCUAAUAGUUUGCACAAGGAUAUUGUAAUCUUUGAGAAAUCUUUGAUAAAAUAUCGAUAAAAACCUAUAUGGCCAAGAAAAACAUGAACCUCCCUCACACACGAAGGGUAAGGCAAUGAUAAAAUAACAUAUAUUAUAGCUUUAUCAACCUCUAAACCACGCAAAGACACAAUAUGCCCAAGAACUAUUCCUUGUUCUACCAUAAAAUAAAACUUAUCAAAAGAAUCAUCAUACACUAUGAAAUCAUCCAUGAAAACCUCAAUUAUUCUUUCAACAUAGUCAGAAAAAUUACUCAUCAUACAUCUUUGAAAAGUUGCAGGUGCAUUACACAAACCGAAGGGCAUUCUCUUAUAUACAUAUCUAUCAAAUGGACAUGUAAAGGUAGUCUUUUCUUCAUCUACAGGAUUAAUAACAAUAUGAUUAUAUCCACUAUAUCCAUCAAGAAAGCAAAAAAAGACUUACUUGUUAGGCGUUCAAGCAUUUGGUCCAUGAAUGGUAAUGGGAAGUGAUCUUCGCAUAUAAAAAAGUUAAGCUUUCUAUAAUCAACACACAUUCUCCAACCACUCGAGAUGCGAAUAUGAAUGAGUUCAUCAUCUUUGUUCUUUACCAACGUGAUUCCGGUCUUUUUAGGCACACAUGGAUUGGUUUCACCCGCUUACUGUCCAUGAUAAGGUAAAUGACUCUUACAUCCAAUAAUUUAAAAAUUUCAGGUUUCACUACCUCCAUUAUUAGUGGAUUCAUCCUCAUUUACAUUUCCCUUGUUGGUUUUGCAUUGUCCUCCAAUAGUAUGUGAUGCAUACACAUUGAAGGACUAAUGCCUUUAAAGUCGGCUAAAGUCCAACCAAUAACUAUUUUGUGAUCGCGCAACAAUUUCACAAGAUUUUCCUCUUGUGCACUUAUCAAACCUUUUGCUAUGUAACGGAGAGUGUAUUGUUAUCGGGAAAACAUUUCAAUUCUAACUAGGGUGCUUGUAAAAUAGAAGGCAAAAGCUUUUUGUGUGAAAGUACUAAAUUAACAAAAACAUUAUCAUAGGGGGUGGUUUACAACACCAAGGCUGAUUCUUAUAUGUUUUAGGAAGCAUAUAUGUUCCUCUCCAUCUCCUUUAUCUCGGUAAAAUCAAUGUCAUGGCUUAAUGCCACACACUCAUCAAUUUGGUUAUAGCAUGUGAUAGAAUAAACAUUGUUGUAAGAAUAUUUCAUUGCAUCAUAAAAGUUAAAUUCAAUUACUUCAUCUUCUACUCCCAUAGACAAAGUAUUCUUGCCACAAUCAAUUUUAGUGUUGACUGUUUUCAAGAAUGAUCUUCCAAACAAGAUAGAAGUGUUGGUGUUUGAGGAAUCACGUUCCAUAUCAAGAAAAGUCGCAUGGAAUAACCAAACUAUCAAUCUUGACUAGGACAUCUUCUAUCACAACAAGUGGAUAAAUAAAACUACGAUCCGCAAGUUGUAUUACAAUACUAGUUUUAAUCAAAGGCUUAAGACUAAGAGAAUCAUAAACAUGUUUAGGUGUAACACUAAUGGAUGCACCCAAUUCAUAUAAAGCCCUUUUAAAGUUAGCAUUACUACCAAUAACACAUGGGAUAGUAAACGCAUUUGGGUCCUUUUCCUUUAAAGGCAAAUUCUUUUGAACAACAACACAUACAACUUCACUCAUACUUAUCAUUUCAUAGCCUUUUAGUUUGUAAGCUCUUUUGGUAGUACACAGCUCCUUCAAGAAUUUGGCAUUUUGAGAAUUUGCUUGAUAACAUCAAUCAAAGGAAUGUUGAGUUUUACUUUCUUGAAAACCUCUAAAAUCUGUAGGGAUUUUCUUGAAAUUGGAAUUCAUUGAGUUAGGACUUACCUUAGGAGUAUUGGUGGUUGUUUCAGUUUGUAGUGGAGAAAGUUGUUUCUUAUUUAGGGUGCAUUUGUUUCCUGGAAAGUGUUUUCCGGGAAAUCACUUUCCAAACUUUCCUGUGUUUGUUUGCCAUUAGGAAAGUUGUCAACGUAAAACACUUUCUAGUCAACGAAAAACACUUUCCGGUCAACAGAAAACACUUUCCUAUCAAAGGAAAAUUUGGCUUGAUUUCCAAGAAAGUGUUUUCCUUCUAUUUUGCGCAGAAAACACUUUCCAGAAGUUGUGAAAAAUUUAGCAAUAUCAUAUUAUUUGCUGAUUAUGUCAAAUUUAAUCCUCAAACUUUUGAUUGCUAUAUAUUUUGUUUGAAUCUUUUUUUUUUCAAUUUCAUCCCUUAAAAUUUGAUUUAAUUUGAUUUUUAUAUUAACUUUGGUCCUUAUUUUUAUGAUUGUUAUUUACUUUUCUCUUAUCAUUUUUUUAAUUGAAAUUUUUUUCUAUCAAAUUUGGUCCUCAUUUUUUUUUAUUGUUACUUAUUUUAUUUAAAAUAAUUUAUGAAAUUGUAAUUAUUAUUAUUUUAAUUUCAUCAUCUUUCAAUUUUUUUUAUCUGUUAGAUUUGAUCUCUAUUGUUUUUUUUUUAUUAUUUAUUUUAUUUGAGAUAAUUUAUGAAAUUAGAUUUUUUUUCAAUUCCAUUCUCAUUCACCUUUUCAAUUUGUAAGAUUUGAUCCUUAUUAUUUUAAUAAACUUGAAAAAAAAUAAAACAUUAAUAAACUAUUUCCAGCUCAUUUUCCAUAACAUAACUAAACACUGAAAAGUGUUUCCAACUUAUUUUCCAUGACACUACCAAACAUAAAAAAAAAUUUACUUUCCCGGAAUUGACUUUUCAAGGAAACCACUUUCCAAAAGAAAACUACUUUCCUGCAAAGAAAUGGGGCUAUGCUCAAUUUAGUUUCUAUCUCCUCUUCUUCUGCCAUUUCAAUUUGUUUUGACCUUUAAUCUUCAAGUUCUUUCCCAAUUUGCAGCGUGAUCACACUAACAUUCUCUUUUGGAUUCAAUGUUUGGGAGGACAAUUUUCCGUUGAUUUGUGCUUCCAAUUUCCCUACACUUGAAGCUAUUUGCCCUGUUUAUUUCUCUAAGUUGUGAAUACUUGACCUUGUUUCCUGUUGAAAAGUCAUUGUGUUAGAAGCUAAAGUUUUCAUCAUCUCAUGAAGAUCAUCACUCGAUGACCCCAUAACAUUAGAAUUUGUAAAUGCAAGGGGCUUUCUCGCUUGAUAAUUCUAUUGGGGCUGAAAUCCAUGGGGGUGGAACUGUCGACUUAAUUGCCUUGUUGAGGUAGGUUCCCAUAGUGAAAGUUCGAGUGAUCUCUCCAUCUAGGAUUGUACGUAUUACAAAAGGAAUUAUAUUUACACUGAGGUUGGCCAUUAAAUGCUCCAUCAAUUGCAUUAGCUUGUUCAAUGUAAUCUUCUUGUAUUGUUGAGCACAUAUCUGAAUCAUGGCCUUAUAACGAGCAUAUAGUACAAACUUUCACUUGUUGUACAUUUCCACAAGCCAAAAAAUGCACAAGAGAACUAAGAUCAUUAACUUUAUUCUCAAGGUUAGCAAUACUUACCUCGUUUGGUUGGGAAGUCUCCACGCGUGCCAAAUUGUUUCGAGUUGACCACUAUAUAUUUGAGAUCAACUGGCGUGUAGCCUCUAGUGUUUUAUUUACAAAUGCCCCUUCACUUUCCGCAUCAAUGAUACUACGGUUAGUAGGCAUCAAUCCUUUAAAGAAGUAUUAAAUGAGUAGCUGAUCAGGUAUUUGAUGAUGAGGACAUUGAUUGCACAACUGCUCAAAUCUUUCCCAAUACUCGGAGAGUGUUUCCCCAUGAGAUUGUCGAAUUCCACAUAUUUCUUUCCUUAUAUUAGCAACUCAAAAUGCUGGGAAAUACUUCUCCAGGAAAAUCUUUUUCAUAUCAUUCCAUGUUCUAAUAGAACUAGGGAGAAUGAAGGUCAUGUUUUUGCUGCCUCUUUUAAAGAGAAAGGGAAAGCUUUCAGCUUAACUUGUUCUUCAUCACCUCCAUGUGAUUUCAUGCCAAUGCAAAUUAUAUGGAACUCCUUGAGAUAAGUAUAAGGGGUUUUCUCCGGCAAGUCCAUUGAAUAUUGGUAGUAGGUGUAUAAACCCAGACUUGAGCAUGAAGUUGAUGUUGUUGUCGAUAUUUAUGCAUAAUGGUUGAUUCUCCACGUUGGGAGCAGCAAGCUCCUUCAGUGUUUGUUGUUGUGCAGCAACCAUGGUGUUGAUGCGCGCUUUGUUUUCAUAAUCUGUGUAAAGUGUUUUCUAUUUUGAGAUCUUCUUACACUUGUCCUUGGUUAGUAGAUCAAGUUAUUGGCAUAAAUAGUCAAGAAAACUCAAAUAAACUAAAAAUAAAUCAAUCACAAAAGAGAUUUAAAGUAGUGAAAGCAAAUGAAAAUCCAACGCUAAAACACAAAAAUGCCUAAAAACCCUAGAAAACUGUGGAAUUUGGCCUCUAGAGGAAUGCUAGUGGCCAAAGCCCACCAGGCUUGCUCGGAACAUUGUUUCCUUUAGGAAACUAAAUGUUGAAGCCUAAUUCAACCAAAACUUCCAUUUUGAAUAGUACCGCAACUCUGUUUUAAUUUUUUUUCUUUCUAUUUUUGUUUUUUUAUGUUUUCUUUUGAACAAAAUAAAUAACAAACAUAGCACAAGAAUCAACUAGAAUCACUUCCCCAACAACGACGCUAAAAUUUGUUGCGAUGUUGUGAUCAUGCAAAUUAAUUACCCUAGCUUUAAACAAACUAGAUAGUAUAGAGCAUGCAAGGGGUAAAUUCCACAAGGAAGAUCGAGUUCAAGUCUUUAUGCUAGAUGAUUCAAAGUUGGGGGGUUUUGAGGUUAUCUAGGUUAUGCUAUAGUAAACUUAAUAAAAUAAUCAAGAUAAAUUAAAUAAAUCUGAAACUUAUUAAGAGAAAAACCUUGGUCUCAAGUAAACAUCCAUAUACAAAAAUCAAAAUGGAUCAUCAAAAUAAUAUGUUAAUUUAUAUUCUAGAUAUUUAUCUUUCCUUAACAUUAAUCAGUUAACCAAUCCGCAGGGUAAAUAACCCUAACCAUUAAACAACCACAGUAUCCGCACUAGUAAUUUAAUUCAAUAAAAGCUUUAAGAACUAGAAAGUUGAUAAAUCUAGACAACAUAACUGUUUGCAGUCUAUGCUCGAUUUAAUUGAAUAUUUUCCCUAAGAUUAACAACAUAGAUCCACCAUAAUUUUAAACCUAGUCGUUUCACAAGUUUAAAUAUCACAACUCUGGUUUUGAUAGCAAACUUAGCAGUAGAUUGGUUUAGAAUAAUAAUUUUGAGUCCGCUAUAAUAAUUAAAUUAAACAAUUAUAGGAAAUACACAUAGAAAAAUAUUCAUAGUUAUCAUAUAAACUGAAAAGAAAGGAUAGAAUAGAUCUCGUAGUUUUUAAAAUAUGGAUGUUUCUGUAUCCUUUCAACUAAAAAAAUAACUUAGCCUUGCAUGGCUAUCCAAAAACUAAUGAAGAGAACAGAUGAGAACAGGGUAGAGAUUUCUUCUUCUUUUUUGUCGCCCUUCUAUUUCUUUCUCUCUUUUUUUAUUUGAUAGGAAUCCCUAAUUCCCGCAUCCCUCCAAUCCAUUUUUAUCCUAAAAAAAUAAAAUAGUCUUUUCCAAAAUAGACAAUCUAUAUUUAAGUAGUACAAUAAUUAUUUUUCUAAAAAGAAGAGAAAAUAAUAUUGCAUAAAAUCUUCAAGAUUUGACUUUGGACUUAGAGAAGUUAAAUUACCUAAUUGAAGAUCUUAUCCAUAAGAAGAAACAAUUGCCAUGUUGGUUUGGAUGCUUUGGAAGUAAGUUGGACUUGUUUCUUCACAAAACCUGUUUGCUGAUAUAAUUUAUGGGUUAUCAUAGAAAAAUCAUAUAUUUCUCAUAUGAGCUAUUUUUCUGUUGCCAUUGCAUAGAUUAAUAGGUCUUUGAGUCAAGAAUCCAAUAAAAUUAAGUUUGCAUCAAAUGAAGUUCUCUAACUCAAGAUAUUAAAGUUGGAAUGACAAAAGGUCAAAAUUGGCAGAAUGUGAGACUUGUCUUUGAAGGCUAUAAUUUCCAUCCCCUUUCUUUUAUAUUUUUCUUGCCAUAUAUGUAUAUAAAGGUAUGGAUGUUAGCUUUCUAAUACCACUAGAAUCACUUCAUUUCAACCUCUAUGAGUAGUGAUGUAUAUAUUUUUCUAAUGCCAAGAUAUUCGACACGGGUUGAAACAUGGUCUGAAUUUUAUCUCCAAUUUGCUCCAUUUCAAAUCUUACAUCCAAAAGUACCUUCAAAAUAUAAAAUAAAUAUUAUCAAGGUAUUUUAUAUAUAAAACAUGUACAAAAUAUUAGGUAAAUAUAGGUAAAACUAUCAAAUAAUAUGGUUGCAUCAGUUGAUAUGGAGCCAUAGUUGUUGGAUGAGGAGUUGUUAUAGUUUGAACAAUCAAAGCUUCCACUGAUGUUGUUUGCAAUGUUUGCUCAAGUAGGCUAGUUAGUCUUGCCACGUCACCUUUAACGCUCUCCAUUUCUUUUUGAUGUUCAGCUUCUAAAUAUGCACGCUUUUCGUUCCCCAUUAGCUUCUUUUUUUUUUAUCUUGUGUGAUAAAUUUGUUUUAUAGAGGGACAUACAUUUCAACUCCUGUAUAUGCAUAUAUGUCAAAAAAUGUUUGCAUGUUAAAGCUCAUAUAUGCUUAUGUUGUUAAUGGAUUGAAAUUGAUUCAUGACUUCUAUCUUCUUGAUUCUAGGCAUGAUUUUUUAUUCUAGUUAAUUGUUGUAAAGGAGUAUUUUUCAAGUUCUUAUCAUUGUUGAAUUCCAAACACAUUAUAUAAAAGAGAAAAUGAGUUGUGGCUUUUUCAUUACAUAUAAUAAAAAUUCAUACAUUUUUUAUAAAUCAAAUUUAGACAAAUAUAGAAAAAUCUAUACAUCACCACUCAUAGAGGGCAUUGCCUUUAUUAGCUAUAUUUAUAAUAAAGGCAGGGGUUUCAUCCAAGUGCUUUUGGUACUUCAUGGCAUCAUUCCCAAUCUAGGCAGCCUGUUGUUGUAAUCUCCCAGCCUGAAAAGCUACUUACUCAACUUGCCUUGUCAUAUGCUUCUUCUUUUUUUGUCGUGGAAUAAAGUGUUGUUAGUGACUAAGAUGUCAUUACUAGAAGCAAGAGCUUUAUAAUUUCUUUCAAGCAUUCAUACUGUGUUUUCCAGAUAGGUUACUUUAGUCAUUACUUGUCGUAGUUCUUUUCUUUCGAUGUCAAGCCCAUCUAUUUUGGAGUUCAUCUGAACCUUAAAACUAUCAGUUUAAUCUUGACAUUCAUGACGCUCUUGCUUGGACCUAUUCAUUUUUUUUUCAUUUUGAAGUAUUGGUCUUUUAGCUCUAUCAAUUCUUCCUCUCAAAUUUCUAGCUCGGAUUGCAUCACCAUGAACUAUUCUUUUGCAUACUCGGCCCCUUGUAGUCCUGCAUGUCAGAUUUAGCAGCAUUCCUAGCACUUCUUUCUUCUUCUAACUAUUCUAUAUAUUGGGCUUGAAAGCUUUUUCCUUCUUUUAUGUCAAAUUCACCUAGCCAGUUCUUCUCUUUUUCAUUGUCUAAUUUUUUUCUAAGGCUAUCAUUUUCCUUCUUCAAAGAAUCUAUUAUUUUCUUAUUAGAAAUCAUCUUGUUCUUAGUUGAUUUCUUGAUCUUGACACCUUCUUUUUCUAUUUGCACACACUUGUUGACCAAUUCAUUAUGCUUGCUUAUUUGAUUUUCUAACUCCUUUUGGAUCCCCAUGGUUACUUCUUUAGCUAUCUCAACCAUUUUGUUUCCAAUCUUUCCAUCUCAAGAUCUUUAGUCAAGAUCAAUAACUAUUCAUCUUUUCAUUACAGUUGCUAGUUCAAGAAAUUUCUUAUCCUAUCUUCUUCUUCUAGUUGUUUUUCCAAAAGUUGUUGUUGCCCUAUGCUAUGACAGAGGUCAAUUCUGCACUUUUAUCAAUCCUUUUUUUCUUUUUGGUUGCUCCACUUUUGAUUCUAAACUUCUAGCUAUCGUGAAUUUGAUUAUUCCAAAAAGCUUUUCAAUUCUCCAGAUCACGUAGUUUUGACUGAAUGAGAAUUCAACCCUGUUUUCUUUUUCCUUCUUCACCAAUAAAGGUCUUUUCCAAUCUUGUCUAAUAAAUUCCAUCUCAUAAAAGGAUGACUGAUGUCUAAAUAAACUGGUGAAUUCUGUUAAUCCUAGAGUUAUCGAUACAUACUACAUUCCACUCAGCUGUUUUAUUACAAGUGCAGGUGUAUUACUGAUGUAUCUGGUUACACUAGUCAGAGGAACUCAUAUCUUGCUACCACAACUCAUUAUAUAGAUAGUGUCUUUAAUCCAUGGUGCUUUCCAUGUGAAGUUGUUUUGCAUUAAUGCGGUAUAUUUCUCUACCCAUGUUUUCUCGUCAAAUUCUUCCAAGUAUUAUCUAUAAUAAUUUUUAAUGGUUGAAGAUCAAACAACCAAAAGUUAUUGAAAAUAUCUCUUGCAUUUCAAUGUGACUGAUAAUUCAUAGAUGCAACAAUGAAACACUAUAUCUCAUGGUUCAUUUCUCAUGCAUCCUACAAUGGUUGAAUGAUAGCAUGAUUUCAGCCAAAAUUACAGCAAGAGAGUUGAUUUGAUCAUGUUCAUACUCUAUGAAUGCAUUGCAUUAUCUAAACUUAUGACUUUACUUUUAUAUGGGAACAAAGCUAAUCUGAAUAUAGCAAAGGACACUAGCUUGUACCAUUCUUCUUUAUUCUGGCUUCGGUAUAAGUUGAGACCUUUUUUUGUAUAAAACAAAGAAUCUUUUUAUGUGUAUUGUGUGGGUGUAUUGAUUGUUUUCUUUAUCUAAGAAUCAACCCAAAAAUAAUAUGAUCCUUAAACAAGUCAUACCCAUUGAAAGUUAAAAUAUAUUGAAUAUGGUUGAUACAUUAUGUUUUUAAAAUAUAUAAAUAUUAUUUAAUUGUGCAUAUAAAUCUAGACCUGUGAGUUGAAGGGUGACCUAGGAAAUACGUACCAUUUUAAUUCACUUCUCUGAAUAUCCAGUAAACCGUUAUUCUACCAUCGAAGUCAUCUUCUAAGUGACCGUAUUUAAUUUUAAAAAAUGUUAUGUAUAAUAAAUAUCUUGUAUAUAUAUUUUUUGGACGUUGGUUUGUAAAUAUAAUUCAUAUGUCUACAUUUAUUGUUAAAUAAAUUUUAAUUUUGAAUAUGUGUGGACGUGUAUUUAAUUAUUUUCUGAACUAGAUCAAAUAUUUUUUUGAUAUGAGUAAAUUUGGGCUAGGUCAACAUGACCACAUGAAAGCUUAUCGAGUGCAAAUAUUGGCUUUCAGGUCUAUUUUGAACAUAACCAAAGAAACAAGACCAAAACCCAAUUGACCAUUACCUUCCUUUCAGGGCAUGCUUGGAUUCCAAAAUUGAAGUUUUAAUAAUCUUCUGCCACAAAUUCAUAUAUUAUUUUAAUAUAAGUAUAAUAUAUAUCUGUUAUUAUAAACAACAAACAAUGAAUAGCUUAUUUUAGAUAGAAUAUUUUAAGGUGGUUGUUAUUUAUUUUGUUAAAAAAGUUAUUUAAAAAUGAAAAAAGUUCAUAAUUUAAUUAUUUUGGCUCAAAUUGGGCAUUUUCUCAAACUUUGAAAUUUUAUUUAUUUUUUAAAAUUUUGAUUAAUUUGAUUUUUGAACAUUUGGGUAUUUUUUCAAAUUUUUGUGACAGAUUUGAGUAUAUGGUCUGUCGCGCAGAGAUUUUGCAGCCGAUUAUGGCCUUCAGUUGGGCUAUGUGUAAUGGCUAUCAAUGGACUGAGUCGGAAGUGAACUCAGUUGUUUAUGGAUUUUUUUUUUAUCAACAUGAUAUUUGGAUCAGUUUGCUCGUAUCUUGACUAAUUUCACGGGCCCUAAAGUUAAUGACUAUGUAAACCUCUAGUGAUCCUGAAGUUUGUAAGACUCGAACUGGUAAUUUCUAGAAAAGAAACCAAAGAUCUUACAAGUUAAACUAUAUUUCUCAUGUUAUGAAUUCUUAUUUUGUGAGAUUCAACAACGACUCACAGCAUGACUAUGCAGACUUGGUUAUGAUUUCCCAUCAUGUUUUGAACGAGGUCCCUGCAAGUUUUGGGUCUUCAUCGUUUGCCAAGGUGGUUUUCGGAAGAGGUCACGUUCAAUAAAUUAAAAAAAAAAAGCCAUUUAGAUUUUAUAUAUAUCUUAUUCUUGUGAUAUCAUAACUCAAAAGUAAAAGGGAGUAUAGAAAGGCCACCUUGGCCAACAUUCUAGAAAGUAGAAUUAGUUCGUGUAUAGUAAUGCUGUGAUAUUUAUCAAAUUUAUUUUUUAAUUGAAAAUAUAUUAAAAUAAUAAUUUCUAUAUAUUUUUCUAUUUUUUACUUUAACACAUUAAAAUUAUAAAAAACCACCUAACAAAAAUCAACUUAAAAUUUAUUUAAAUAAAAAAAAAGGUUAAACCGCUCAAAACAAAUACUCCCGUUGUUGGAAGCUGGCCCGUGAUCACCAUUCUUUUAUUAAAGCCAGUUGGCUUUUGCGUUUUGGUACAAAAGCAAGAUCAUAGUUAUUAAGAUCGGAUAGGUCUUAGAUUAAUGCCGCCUGAGAUCAUAGUUAGGACUUAGGGGGUUGAUUUAGGACCCCAUGGAUUUGAUAGCUGGACUCAUCUGGGUGACAUAAAAAAUUAGAAUUGGUAAAAACCAGAUAAAAUCUGGUUCAUCAAUAACCCUGACAACCUGACAAAAUCAGAUUGAAACUCAAUAUUUUAUUUAUUUAUUUAUUUUUACAAAUGUGUUUUGUCUUCUAACUAGAAAUCUUUUAUAUAUAUAUAUUAGUUGAUUAUUAAUCAUUUUCAAAGUUUAUUAUAUAAAUAUUAGAAAAAUAUUUUAUUUUUUUAAUAUGAGAUUUGAAGUCAUUUAGUAUAAUAUAUACUCUAUGUUCACAAAAAAAAAAUUAUUUUUUCAAUGUAGAAUCUGAAACCCUUAAAUACAUAUACUUUAUAUUCACAAGAAAAAAGUUAUGUUUUUUCAAUGUGGGAUAAAAAAUCUUUUUGGUUUAAAUACUUCAACUUAAAAGGAUAACAUAUUAAUAUAGUAUCUUUUUAAUGUGUGAUAAAAAAAACUUUUGAAAUAAUCUGUUAAAUUUUAUUAUUUAUAACAUAUAUGAUCUAUAUUCACAUGAAUUUUUAUUUAAUUUUUUUAUAUAAAAUAUUAAAUUGAAAAUAUUAACUUAAAAGUUUUUUAUAUUAAUUUAGAUUAAUCCGAGUAAAUUUAAAACCCAACUUGAUAAGGUGACUUUUCAAAUCAUGUAUGAUAACUAUGACCGAGACAGCUCAAGUUUGAAGAUAGUAAGCAAUUCGUAAAGCUGAAAGAAACAAGGGCCUCUUCAAUUAGGAUGAACGAGUAGACCAAAAAAGAAAGAAAGUCUGAAAUAUGAUCUAGCUAGCUACUGAGAAUGAGCCAGUGGUUGGAUUUAUAGUUUCCAAAACCAUCCUCUCUGAAUUCAUCAUAUGUACAGUUAAUCCUAAAAUUACAAUCAUAUUUCAGCAUAAUAACUUGAGAGUCUUGUUUUAUAUAUAAUUAAAAUUUUAAAUUAAUCAGGCAACAGAAAAGCCUUGUAAUAAGAUUUAGAAACUAUCAAAUUUGUAUUAGUUUUUUAUUUAAUUUAAUUUUUAUUUUAUUUUUUAAAAAUUAUUUAGGAUAUUUUAUAUGUAUUAUAAAUAGAGUUAUUUAAUUUGUAUUUGAGUUUUUUUAAAAAUUUUAAUUUUAAAAUAAUAUUUAUAUGUGAGGAAAACUCAACUUUUUUGUUCUUGAAUAAAAUAAUAUUGAAUUAUUAAAGAAUAACUGUCUUUUCUUUGUGCCACGCGAGAGUUGCCUUUGAAACAGGUUUCUUCCUUUUAAACUUCAAUCCGAGAAACCAAAACCAUAAUAUUUUAUUAUUAAGAAAAACCUUUUCUCUUCAAUACAAUACCCAACACUAGUGAUCAAAUGAUCAGAACCACCGCAAGGAGAUAAUCAUUACAAAGCAGAAUCCAACACCUUUAACUGAAGUACAAGGAAAGACUUAAGAAACCAUCUUGACAUACUUAUAUAGUACUUGCUUGUUCUUCUGCAGCCUUUAAUUAUUACAAGGUAUAGGAAUUUUCAGGUUCACGCAUCAGGAUUUGCCAAGAAGUAAGCUUCGACAGCCUUGAACAGUCCUUCGGUCUUCUUGCCAUCCUUCUUGAUUUGAUCCUCCUUGAUCUCAGCGCCAUCCUUUAUAUAGUACUUGCUUGUUCUUUUGCAGAUGGAUCCUCCCUCAGGAGUGGGCACAAACUUGUGCUCAAAAAUCACUUUCUCAACUCCCUCCAUCCAAACGUUAGAUUCAAUCAAACUGAAGCUGUAUGCGAAAUUCUCUUCAUCAAUUGUUUCAAUCUUCUGCUUCACGUAGGUGAGUCCUUUGCCUGCAAGUGAAAUCUACAGCGUUAUUUCUUUGUGCAACACAUAUAGCUAGCUAGUGAUACACUAAUUUCAAGGCCACCCUUUAUUUUGUUCUUCUUGGGUAAUAUAUAUAUAUAUAUAUAUUAGUUACAGCAAGUAGCUAAGAGAUGAUAGAAUUUAUAACUUGCCUUCAACAAAAGUGACCUUUCUUAUUGUUCCUGGCCCUCCGUUUCCUUCAAUUAUCUCAGAGCUUAUAAUAGCUUGCGGUAGAAUUUUAGGUAUAAGAGUAUCAGUCUCAAGGCAAUAGACCUUGAAGAGCUUGGCAGGAGGGACAGCGACAGAAAACUCAUUUUCAAAAGUGAUGAGACCCAUGAUAACCAAAUAUUAGUUACAAAGAUUACAGAAGAAAGAAAUUAGAGGGGGAAUUUGAAGCUAUGAAGGAUGGUUCUGGGGUGAAGAAAUGUGAGAAUUGGAGGAGGAAUUUAUAGGGUAAGUGUAUGAACGUCUCAUCUGGAUCAAAGUCCCUGUCCCCUUCAUCGUUCUUAUUUUUUGUAGAAUUAUUGUUUUGGUCAAUAUAAGCAGCUUUGAAUCUAGAGAAAUUAUAAAAUUCUCAAGUUGAAUAUAACUAAACAUCAUUUUGUAAGAAAAAUAAUCUGAACUAGAUUAAUUUAGCACGAAUUACGAGGACCGUUGUUGCAACCUCCAGUAAGAGAAUUAGGGGAAAAAAACUUAGUGCAUGGAUAAUUUGAUAGUUCUAAAGUCCCUUGCCUGCAAGUUGGAUCAAAGACGGUUUGCAAGUCCCUAGCUAUACACACUUGCAUAUAAAGCAAGAGGAUUGGAAUAUUUUGGAUAGUUUCUUUACUCCUCAUUGAGAGUAAAUUGCAGGCGCUGAAAAUCUAUCGUUUUCCAUGUUAAUUACUGUCACAAAAAGCUCUGACUUGGUCAAGUCCAGUGCCUUCAGAAAUUACAAGUAGAAGUCAAGUUAGAACUAGCAGCCAUCGAAGACGAUUAUGUAUUCAAUGGCCCAGAUAUUAAUUGCCCAUUUAAAAUCAAUAUUGCUAUUAUUCAAAAUAGAAUAUCAAUAUAUUCCCGAGAAAAUUAUUUAGAUUUUUAGUCUCAUAAAAAAUUUUUUGAUAUUCAAAUUUAAAAAUAAAUACGUACUUAUCUUUUUAUUAACAUUUACCAUAAGUGGAAGUCUAUCAUUUUAUGAUUACCACCGUCAUAACCAUUUUAUUAUUAAAGUAAUUAUUAUUAUAAUCAUUACUAAUAUUAUAAUUAUAAUUAUAAUUAUCUUUUCAUUAACAUCUACCAUUAAUACAAGUCUAUCAUUCUAUGACGACCACCAUCGUAACCAUUUUAUUAUUAAAGUAAUUAUUAUUCUAUUAUUAUUAAUAUUAUAGUUAUAAUUGUCAUUAUUACCACCGUUAUUAUUAUCUUAUCAUAAAUAUUGCAACUUUUCUUAUUUUAUUUUUGCUAUUCAAAAAUCAUGAAUACAAUAUAUAUAUAUAUAUAUAUAUAUAUAUAUAUAUAUAUAUAUAUAUAUAUAUCCAAAUAAUAAAAAUUAACUUAAAACAAAUAUCUUUAUACUAAACAAACUCCCCCUCAAACACAAGUUGGCUUUGAGUAUAUAUUAAAUUUUGUUGGAAAUUGGAAUGACUAAUUUCUUCAUUUUUGUUCUUUUUUUUACAGGGGGCUAAUUUUAUUUUAUUUUAAGCAUUAACUUGCCAUACUGGUGGGAUUGUUUUUCAAAGUAGUAGUCAAGAUUUAUUUUUUUAAUUUAAAUGAUGUUUGUAUAUAUUUUUUUAUAGAGGUUUUUCCCAAAUAAUAAGUUGUUGAAGCAUGAGUGCUCGGAUCUGUAUAUGUGUCUGACAUCGACACCCCAUACCGAGUCUGAGGUCUGAGUAAUAUACAAUUGAUUUAAUUCCACGCCUUAUGACGUUUCGAAAAGGGAGUCGGUGUGGCAUAAAGAUAUCAUUAGAAAAAUUGUUGUUCAAAACGUUGCUUUGAAUCAUUUCAACAUUUUGAAAAAAAAAUUAAUAUACUUUUAUCUUAAUUUAUUUUUUUUCUACAAGUUAUUCAUCAAAAAUAACUCUGAAAUUACAAUUCAAAGUAAGAAGUUAAUGUUUUACAAGUCAUGUAAAAUUAACUCUUAAUCUGCAAAAUCAAGAGAUUAACCCAUAAUUUGCAUGGGAUAUACAUCGAUCUCACAAUGAUAUUGUAUAUCUUCUGUCAGAACUAAAGAUUACACAAUCCUCAAUUAAUCCCAUCGAAUGACGCUUCCUAAGCAGACUUUUCACAUGCAGCAAACAAAACUUUAAUUUAUUUCGCAAUCCAAAAUCCUUCAUUACUAGUAAGAAAUUGGUGGACAAGAACUUAUAAAUAAUAAUAUUUAUCUACCUAUAUUAAAUAACCCUUCAUUACUCGGGCAACAUAAAUAUUGAGAAACUGUUCGUCUAACACAACAAUCAUUAAAAAAAAAAUUAGUUUGUCAAGCACCACAAUCAUUGAGAAAUGGUUCACAUUCAAACUCCAAAAGCACCAACCAUUGAGAGAAAUAGUUCACGCAUCAAAUCCUAUACAAAAGCAAGCAUCCGUUGUGAAAGGGUUAACACCAAGCACUUUGAAAAAUUCUAAUCACCAAAGCAAUUUAUGAGCAACUUCGAGUCAAGAUGAUCUACCUACAUUCAAGUUCCAAAAUAAUGUUUCAAACAAAUCUUAAAAAAUACAAAAAUCCAAUUAAAAAAAAACCAAAACAUGAAUCUUGAUUUGAAAACUAAAAAGUCUAAAUGUAUGGAAAAUACUUACUUUUGCUAAAAUUUAAAACUAUUAAUAUGGUGGUUAAUUAUUAAUUUGGUGGCUAACUAUGGAUUUUAUAGCUAGAUAAAACAUAAAUAAUAACAUCAUAAUCUGAACAUAUGGUCUGUAUGAAAGUUGUAGAUAAUUAUCUUAUCUUUCCAACCUAAAACGAAUGGGCUUAUUUGCACUUUUAGAACUUCAGAUAUAGGUUAAACAACUAACAGUAUUUGGAUUGGAGGACAAAUUCAUAUUUCUCUUUUGUUGUUAAGAUUUGAACUUAAAAAUGACAGUGUUGAGUCUUGGGCUUUUCAUGAAUAUUUUAGGUUUACAUCUUAGCUUUUUAUCAAGCUAAACCACACUUGAGUUGGAGGUUGUUAGAUUCAGUUAUAACCUAAAAACCAAAUGAUGUUCCAGUUCAAACAUCAAUCAGUCCAAGUAGGAUUUCUUCUCUAAACAUAGUCUUCUCUUUGUCUCUUCACAUAAACCCUAAUUUCAAUAAUUAAGCAUAUCAAUUAGUCCUUUGAAUUGUGAACUAUGUCUAUUUUACAAACUUGCAUUUAAAACUAAGUAUUUACCAUAAAUUAUAGAUAUAUUAUAUUGUUAGACUUGUUAUUAUAAACAUGCUUAAAUUAAAGAAUUUAACAAUACUUUAAAUAUAAUAUGAUGAUAUAAAACCUUAAUAAAAUACACUUUAAGUACAUAUCACUCCUCUCAACUAACUUAUCACUACUCCCCAUCAAUUAAAGCAUUAGAAUAGAGAAACAAUUCACGGAAUUUAAAACCAAAGCGUUCGUCAUUUUACUUUUACUAAUCAAUCCAAAUAAAAAAAACUCUCUUUAGAUUUAUAUUUCUGCCAUAUUCCUUUUAAUUAAGAUAUUACUAUAUUUUUUGUGUUCAAUAUUGAGCCACAUGGUUAUGGACCUUGCUUGGAAGAAAACUAAAUUUGUUCUAAUCUUUUUCUAAGGUUAACUUCUUUUGGUUAGGAUAUAUAUAUAUAUAUAUAUAUAUAUUUCUUUUUCAUUCUUUUUUAAAUAACAUAGCUUUUAAAAAAAACAUAAUGCAUCCUUUACUCAUGUAAUGAGUUAUAGGCUAAAAACUUUCAAAUAAGUUGGCCUUAGAGCAUUAGGUAUUGAGACACUAUGAGCUUAAUAACUCGAGUUACAGAUACUUACAUGUAGAUAGUGCAAUGUUUGAUUCCCUUAAGCUUUUUCCUCAACUCAUGUAACAAGUUUUGGGCUAGUAACUUCCAGAUUAGUUGACUUUAAGUUAUUAGGUGUUAAAACACUCAUUCGUGCUUAAUUGCUUAGGUUAAGGAGACUACAAAAUUGAACUUAUCUAUGUAUUUAUUUUAUUAGUUUAUUAUAUAUAUAAUCUAUCAUUCUCUUAGUUGCCACCUACGAUAAAAGAACACAAAUAAUGUAAUAAUCUAAUUUACAACCCAUAAACAUGUGUUAAAGUAUGUGUGUGAAGAAGAUGGUUUACGAAUACUUGCUAAAUAAGUAUAUGAGCAGAAUUAAGUGAUAACAAUAUGAGAGCUUGUAAACUUGAAUAAUUAAAAAAAAAAAGCAUGUGAUAAAACCUUGUUAUGAAUUUUACAAAUAACCAUAAUAAAAUAUUUAUUGCAAUGUGUCUCAAGAGUCAUCUCAAAAGUAAAGUUCCUUCUUACUUGGCCAUUCUAAUUGUAACAAUUAUGUCAAAUGGUUUUAAUAACACCAAGAAGAAAAUGUUUUUUUUUUAUUAUUUCAACUAUCCUCUCCCCCCUAACAAAAAUGACACAUUGUUCUCAAUAUUUAAAGUCAGAUCAGUAGUGUAUAGAAGACAUUACCUAAAAUUACAACUACUAAAAACCUGAAACACACUUAAACAAAUAUAAUAAAUAACGGAACAAAAAAAUAAUAUAUUAUGGGUAAAAUCAAAAGACAUAAAUAUUUACACAUUAAGGCUCAAACCCAAUCUUUUGUUUUCACAACUUUUCUUGGUUGACCAGUCUAUUCGAUUCAUGGAUUGAUCAAAUUUAGGGAUGAAAGUUUGUAGUUGAUCAAUCAAUUGUUCAGCAGUUGCAACAGAUAUUAUGUUUCAUUAUGUCGAAGAUGUUAUAAACUUUUGUUCCAACAUGAUAAAAAAAAAGAUAACAAAUUAUUAUAAAAAUCAUUAACAUUUAAUGUUCAGUUGGGUGUAGAGAAAAUCUGAAAUAUCUCUUUGAAUGUACCUAAACUAAUUGCUAAAGAAAUAAAGGCAUCAAAAUGUUCAAGUAUUGUAGCUAUUCGUUCAGACCUUGUCAAGACCUUUAGUUCAUCUCCAAUUGUUUUUCUAGUGAUGUUCUCAUUGGCUAAAGCUUUUGGGUUGAUACCCAAAACUUGAUUGUCUAUGAAGAAUAUACAACUAUUGACACAUUUUCUAUUGACCCAAAGUUGCCUCCCCCAUAUACUAAAUGAGUCUUUCUCUCAGCUACUACCCGACCAAGAUAAUUUGUUAAUUCUAAAACUUCAUUUUCUUUUUCAGGACUGGAUCCACAAAUAUUUUUUAUUUUAAGAGUUGAGGAUCUUGUCAUCUCUACAGUAUCUUAUACUCUUUGAAUGUAUGAGCUGAAUAAAAAUAAAAGGAAGGGUGAAAAUAUUUUAUAGACAUGGAAAAGGAAUGCAAUCAUAUCACCUAUAUGGAUAGGCUAGUUAAAGGGUUUUUUUUUUGUUAUUUGAUUUAGAACAUGUAUAUGUACAAGUAGAUGUGAUUAUGACUCACAUCUUCUCUUGGUUUUACAUCCAAGAACAACUUAAACGCUGUUUAUAGGUUGGGGAUAGGCUUCCCAUCCAGUUUUUUUUUAAAAAACUAACAAACAAGGUUUUUUUAGUCAGAUUCCUAAGACUAUUUCUAGCAUAUUCUUUAUGAAAAUAGGGUCAUAUGAUUGAAAGGAAAUGGUAUUAAUGCAUUUGACUGAACCAACAUAAUAGAUUGAAUGUUAAAUAAUUAUUGUAUGUGGAUCCAGACUUGAGGUUUGAAUCACUGAUAUUUUAGUCAUCAAAGGGUAAAUGAGAUGAUUUAUACACUUCAGAAUGAUUAAAACAAAUAGCUUCAGGUUGGGACUCACCUCUACCUUCGAGCAACCAUAAGGGAUAAAAAUCCUGAAAACAAGUAGGCGAUUGAUAAGUUGAAGAGAAGGGUUUAAAGGGAUGAGCCUCUAAGUGAUUUUAUAUAGAUGAUGCCACCUCAAAACAUGUGUAACUACUUGGUGAAAUAGAAUAUUAAAUAUGUUAUAUAUAAGACCCUGAGUUAGGGGUAUAAAGAAUGGAAUGCGAGUAAAAGUUUGAAACUGAUGAAAUUUAGUUAGUGUAGUAUGUGUUACAAAAUAUAAUGAAGGAAUUAAACUUUUAGUUAUUAACUUGUAUGAACUAUGAAUAAUGUGAAUCGAGUCUUUGUUGGGUUGGAAGAAAAAACCUAAUAUAAGUUUUGUGUUUUGCAAGAGUGUUUUUUGCAUGAUCUAGCCAGGGAAUGAAAGAAUCAAAUACAGAGCUGAUACUAUGACAAAAUUUUAUACUGUACGAUCAUACCAAGUAGAUCAAUCUAUAUAUAUAAUGUAGUAAAAAAUAAUGUAAAUUGUCAUAUAAGUACAUCAUUGUAUUGUUUCUUUAAGUAGGGUAUUAACGUUUCAAAGAAUUUUAAUGUAUAGAUAUUGAUGUAAAAUUUAUUGGAUUGAUUGGAUGGCCUGAGGCCAUUACUUGGAUAUAAUUUGUUACGGGCAGGAUUCAUAAUCUUCAAUGAUUGUUAUAUAGGUUAUUAAAAGAAGAGAAACAAAAAAUUUAGUGACUUUGACAGAAGGAACUCUAUCAAAAUUUCAUUAGGAAUCUAAUGUGACAAUUUUAAUGGAAACGUUUCAAUAUUUAUAUGAAUGGUGUUACUGGGAGUAGAUAUGCAAGUUAUAAAAAAAAUUACCUUAUUUACAUGAUUUCAAGGCUUAAAAUAUCAUUAGAACGUUGAGAAUUUUACGGGGCGUUAUAUACAAACUAUAUUAUACUUCCAAAAUAUUUCAAUUUCUCCAUCAAGAAUUAAACCUCCCCUUCUCUAUUUUGAUUUGUUAUGCCACUUUCGCACGUGAUAGAGACGAUGUAUGGCUGAGCUCGCUGAAAAAUAUGGGUGUGUGCCUCCAUAAGAGGCGUGUUAUUGGGAAGGAAAUUUUUUUGAGUUUAAUCAUAAAAUUAUGAUUAAGGUUCAGGAGCUACCACUUAGUAUUAUGAUUACUAGGAAUCUAUGGUCUGCGAGAUUCUGAGUAAUGGACUGGUUGUGCAAAGGGAAUAUACAUCACCCACAGUGCACCCUACUUAAAGUAAGUUGCAUUGUUAUUUGAUUGUUUUUUUUUCUAAGUCAAGUUUCUAUUCAUUGGUCUUGUCCAAGGUCUAAGGUAGAUCUCCCUUCAUGAGAGAGUUUCUACCUCAUCGGGUUUAAUCCUAACAAUUUUAAAGUUCAAAUUUUAGCAUCGUAUUUAUUUUACACUUUGUAUCUUUAAUACCUGAGAGUGUACUUUAUUGUGUAGUUUUACACCCCCCAAGUAUUAAAAGUCUACUUCUGAACCCUAAUAUAAAAUAAACAAAAUGAUUGGUGAAGGAUUUUUGACAUUUUAGCUAAAUCCUAACGGAUAAUCAUAAACUGGAAAUGAUAUCUAUUUUUGGAUUUUUUAAAACAUGAGAAAGAUGCAAUUUUUGUCUUUUUUUAAUGAAAAUAUGCUUGGAAAACUUUUUAGAAUUUGGUCGUAUGCAUUAAAAAAGUAUAUUUUGUUUUUGUUUUUUGAAAGGGGAAAUUAAUUUAAAAGUUUUGAGAUUUUUUUUUUGAAAAUUUUCGGAGAAAACUGAGUAUUUUAAUACCGAAUCUAUAUCUUACAAUGUAAAAAUAUAACCCAAUAUUAAACAAAAUUGAUAGAAUAACACGCGAGAAAAUCAAAAUUAUUUUGAAAUUCCCUUUUGGGAUUUUAUUUUUUAAUAUAUAAUAUUAUUAUAUUAUCAUAAUUAAAUAUAUUAUAAAAUAUAUGGGUUGGGCCGACUAGCGGUCCAACAAAUCUAAGCUUCUCCUUUUCUUUUUCUUUUUCUUUUUUUUGGGUUGAACCCGGCCUAGCCACUUGAAGUGGGCUGGAACGGGUCCAGCCCAGGCUGGGGGGUAAUUAUUCCCCUUAGUGCCCUGUAUGCAUAACAAAUUAUCGUUCUGCAUGCAGGAAAAUAAAGGGAAGGGGGGGAGGUGAACUAGAGGAAAAAAAGACAGAUGGGUUACCUGGCGUAAGAAGUUGCUGGUGACCUGGUAGCGGAGCUAGUGGAGAGAACGGUGGGUGGAGACGCCAACAUCAGUUGAAGGAGAAGGGAGAAGGAGAGGAAAGAGAAGAGGGAGCUUGCGGUAGAGGAGCUGCUGGCGCUGUGGAGGAAGAAGGAGAAAUAGUCAAUGGAGAGGAGGAAAGUGUGACGAUGCUAAUGGAGGGAAAGGCUGGUGGUGGCUAAAGGCCAUAGUGGAGAGAGAAAAAGGAAAGAAAGUUCACGGUGGCAGAAAGGAAAUGAAGGGGAAAGGUUGACUUUCUUUCCCCCUUAGAACAUGAAAUCCUCAUCUAUUUAUAGGGGUUGGAAGAGGAACGUUUGGUCUCCACUAAUGCCAAAUUUUGACCCUUGAUUUGACCCAAAAGAAUCCUAACUGUUGGCUCAAAGUAGUCAUUAUGGGCUAUCAGGUUUGUUGCAAGAAAAAGGCUGGUCGGGUUGGCCACUUUGGAGCGGUGCCACCGCCUCUGUGGUGUUAGUCAGCCAGAACUGAUCACACUUGAGUGGAGUCAGAUGUCAGAUGAUCAUUUUGGUGUAAGUUUUGUCCAAUUUGAUGAAGAAACGAAGCAUCAAAUGCCUUGAGAAGUAGGCCACUCAAAUAGCUUUUCUGAAGAAGAAGAUGAACAAUCGCAACAAAACGGCUUCGUUUUAGGCAAUUGUGCUUUAGUCCUUCAAUUUAUGAUUUAUUCCUAAUUGCACCCCUGAUUGGCUUCAAACUUUCAACUUUGUGCAAUUGUACCUCUGACAAACUUCAAUUUAAGCUCUGGACUUCAAUGCCUUUUUUAUCUUGGUUAUUGGUUUUGGAUUUAUGUAAUUUUAUUCUUAAUUGACCAUCAAACUUUUAAAUUUCUUCAAUUUCACUCCUAAUUUCAGCCAAUUGGGUUCUCAGAGUUCGACGUCUUUUGCAAAAUGGUCAUUGGGAUGAGUUUUAUUUCUAGACUUAAUAGGCAACAAUGUUAUUUUAAAGAAUAAAUGUGAUAAUAAAGACAAAAAAAUGUUUGACAAAGAAGGAUAUCAAAGGGAUUUAUGACAAGGCUAUGUAAGAAUGAAAUGUGGGAUGACAUGUCAUCAAGAAAUAAGAACUACAAUAGUAGAAAGAAAUCUUGGGGCAAAUAAAGACGCUAUAUGUGAUAGAAAGUAAAAAAAAAAUCAUGAUGGAAAAGCACAAGAAGUCUCAAAACUAGGUCGCUUACUCAGAAACCGAAAUCAAGCAAAUAAUUGAGCCUAAUAUCAUGAUGAUUAGAAGUGAGAAUCGGGACAAUAGCCUAAGAUGACAAGAGAAAGUUGGUAUAUUUCAUGGAAGAUUGUUUUUAUUUAUUUAUUUUAGGGUAGUCAUCUCUAGAUAAGAUUUUUUAUUUUAUUUUUAGAAUAGUUGUCUCUUGAUGAGACUGUUUAAUUUGUUUUAAAGGUAGUUAUCUCUCGUUAGAGCAUUUUUUUUCUUUUCAUUUUAAAGGUAGUUAUCUUUCAUGAGACUGUUUAUUUUGUUUUGAGGGUAGUCAUCUCUUGAUAACACUAUUUAUUUAUUUAUUUAUUUAGUUUAUUUUAAGGGUAAUCAUCUCUUAAUGAGACUAUGUAGUUGUUUUCUUUUGUUUGAAGUUACGGGUAAUCGCCUCUCAAUAAGGUUGUUUCUUUUAAUGUUGAGCAAAGCUCGCUUUCUUUUCAAUACAAAAUUAUUAUACAAAGUUAAAGAAAAAUAAAAUCUUCAAUGUUUUUGUACCGUAAGUAUUGUAAAGAAGGAGCAAAUAUCAUAACUCAUUUUUUAUCACCUAAUUUUUAAAAGAUGUUUUCAAAAAUAAAAAUAAUGAGUGAAAUGAUAAGCAAACAAGGAAAGUGGGUGAGAUAAGAAGAUAAGAAAAUAGAGGGAUAAGGAGAUAGGAAGAUAAAAAGAUUAGAAGUUAGGGAUAUAAGGAGAUAAGAAGGGAUAAAAAUAUAAAUAUAGAAGAGAAUGAGUUAUAAAUAGACCAUACAAUUGAAGAAAAGAAAUCAGAGAAAACCAAAGAGAAAAUGAAGCAAAAAAAAAAGCACUCCUAAAAAAAAAUAAAAAGAAGGAAAAACAAAACAAAACAAGCUUAUCUCUUUAGCCAAAAAUACAACAAUUUUUUUUCCCUUCCUUUAUCCCUGCAAGAAUCCACUAACAUAACUCAUAUAAACACAUUGUAACCAACCUUCUACCAUCAUAGCUUCAGUCAACCACCCUUCUAAUCAAAAUCAGCUCACCAUCAAAACGCCACCCAAACCACCAUGAACUAGACCAAAAACAACCUCUCACCACCACCAUUACACACCAUUUCUUAUAAUCUUAUACUUACCAACCCGAUCACUAUAAAAUGAAGUUACCACUUAUGAAUCAUCGUAGCAUAGUCAUUCUCUCUAACCGAUCAUCCACACUCGAAAUCUGAAAAACCCAAAAAUCCCAACAACCAUGUAACACUUCUUCCACUGCAACACCGAAUCCUUUUCCGACCUGAAAUCCCAGUCGCAAAUCAGAUCCAUUCUCACACUUCUAAUCACCUAAAAAGACUGAGUUGUUUUUGCUAGUUUUCUAGGUUUUGUGACAGCACGUGAUGCACAUGCGCCACACUCUAGACAAACAGUCCACCAGCAAUACCCAAUCUAAUUUUAUCAACUUUUGGUCAACUCUAACAAGUCUUAAAGUUGUUUUUGAACCCCAAAUAAUUUUUUUUUUAUUUUGGAUAAUUUUUAAUAUAUUAUCAUUUUUUAUAUUAUGAUGAAUAUUUAAAGUGUUUGGGUCCACAUCGACCUUGGAGGUAUGUAGCCGUCAAGAAUUUUUUUUUUUGACGUAUGAUAAGGUUAGAAUUAAUACCCCACAAUGGAAGAGAGGGUAUUAAUUGAAAUUUAAAUAAAAAAUUAAUGCAAAGUAAAAAAUACAUUAAAAUAAAGAGGGUCCUUGUAUAGGAGUAGUUGUGGCUAAAUAUUGUAUGUAACAAGCACAAGCUUAUCAUCAAAUGUCUCUUCUAAUAAAGACCGUCUGGCUGUGAAACUUUUCCAAUAUAUGUUUUUUAUUUGCAUUCACACCUUUUGGAAUGAGUCGCUAAACCAAGUUUUUUUUUUAGGUGAAGGAAGUAUGAUUGUUUUAUCAAUAGUUAAACCCGAUUGGAAGAUGUUUCAACUUAUAUUCCUAUUAAUGUAAUAUCCAUUACAAGUAAGAACAUUAAAAAAUAAAAUAGCAAGUACGAAAAUGAGUAAUAACCUUUAAUAAAGAUUGUGUCACAACUCUAUAAUUAAUUCAUAUAUCGGGUGGUCUUGAAAGUCUAGUUGCUAGGUCUAGCUUUGAGUGACUAAUCUAUAAGGGCUUUAAGGGAAAAGAGAAGGGGUGAAGUUAUAGGUCAGGUUUGUAAGCCUUAUUUCUAAAUUGUUGAUCCUAAGUUCCCAUGAUUGCCUACUUUUUCCUGUUGAUUCUAAGAGAUGGAAGGGGCUCAAUUCAAGCUAGUCAUUCAAUCUGACUCGACAUUUCACCAAGGAGCCUCAAAACUAUGAAUCAUAGAACUAUAAUGAAAUAUACAAUCAACCAACAUUUAUUAAAUUUGACAAAGAUUCAGAAGAAACUCCAAAUAUUUGAUGUCUUUCUCUUUGAAUGAGAUCUCAAUUCAAAAGACGGUUUCAUUAAAUAUCUAAUAACUAGAGUCCUUUUUUUCAAUCCAGUCUUCCACCACCAUGAAACCUAGUUAGAUUCAAGCAUGAUACACUUUUUAGUUAUUGGAAGAACUCAAGUACUCUCUUUCAGAUCGAGUAAGAGAUCUUUUUCUUUUUAAAAGAUACAUGAGUGAAACAAUCAACAUAUUGAUAUAGGAAGACCCAAAUGAUUCUUUCAAUAUAUCAUUUAUAGGUCCAAUGAAAUUCAUAGGAAUAGGAAGAAGCCUUGAAAAAUAGAUAUUAUUUUUUCAACCAUCUUUUAAUUGUUAAUAUGAUAUAAAAGGACCAUUACUAUAAAUAUAAUUGAUUAGUCAAAGAGAUAUUUAAUAACUAAAAUAAAUAUCUCGGUUUUUUGAGAUCUUCUGUUCUUCAAAUGGAAGGAACAAAGAUGAAAUUAGAUUGGUUCCCUAAAUGUCUUUCUAGAUAUUUUUGUUAUUCACGAAAGAUGUGAAGGAGAUGAAUAAGCAUAUGCUUUUGAAAGAAAUUAAAGAAUUUAUUGAGAGUCCUACAAGGUUCAUUAAUUUCUUUCCUCUAACAAGUGGUCAAAACUUCAUCUUAGUUUGAAUCUUACUAAGAGGUCCACUAGAUAUAAUAAAUUAUUGAAGAAAUAGCAAGAUGUUUCUUUAGUCCCUUCUAAAUGAUCGAAAAAAAGAAAGAAAUAAUCAAUAUAUUUAAAGUAAUUACAUAUUUACAAAAUACCAUCUUAAUUCAUCCCAUUUCACCAAAUUAGGGAUGUGAUAUGGUUUUGAAGGAUGAACUGGAUGUGGAGAGUUCCAAUAAUAUUUCUUUCUUGAAUAUUUUUAUUUAUUUAUUUCAUAUAUAUAUUUCAUAAUCAAAACAGGGGAUACAUGUUCCACCAUGAUUCUAAAUUAGAAGGGAGAAUAAGAAAUAACAAAUCUAUUUAUUCUACUAAUAACCUAGCCAAAUCUUGUAUAUCAUAAGAUUUGAGACUCUUUUCAAAUCUUAUUUCACCUUGACCAAGGAUUUUCUAGUCAUACUAUUUGAGAAUAGAUGAAAUAUUUUCUCUUCAUCUAAGGUGAUGAAUCAUCUCUUGAUCACUAAAAUAUCUUCAUAUAGUUCAUGCUACACCUAAUGUUUACUCUUUCGUUAUCUCGAUUAAGAUAACAUGUAACAGUAUCAAAGCAUAAUAUUUUCUAUAUUAGAUGAGUUAGUGAUAUGAAGUUUAAGGAUCACUUAUGUAACCGUCACAUGAGCCUUUCCAUAGACAUAGGUGAUCUCUCCAUAUGGAAUUCUCAUGUGGGUAGGUUCAGUGUACAUGUCUUAUGACAAGCACCUGCAUAUUAAUUCUAGGUAUCCCUUAUACAUCAGCUUAUGAGAAUAACUGUUUUUUUUUUAUAAAGGAAAGAACAUAAUAUGUAUUGGUCUCUACGGGUCUAAUGAAUGUCGAGUAUUUAAGAGAGUAUCGACCAAGAAUAUUUUAGGAACAAUGUUUUGAUGCAAUAGGAAUCCUAUAAUUAUAACAACUUUAUAAUUUUUUUUGUAAAGAAUUUUUGUCCUAUGAACUUUAUCUUUAUUGUAGAUUCAUUAAUCUAAUAUUACAUGAAUAUAAUAAUAUCAUGUGUAACCAAUCAAUUGGCUACAAGGCAUAUUAAACUACCACACUGAUGAAAGGAAAUGGCGUUGAGCAUAAGUGGUAUCGAUGGCCCUUUUGCAGCGUAGAAAUGGCUACAAGGCAUAUUAACCAAUCUUAUAAUUUUUUGAGCACCGUUUGUUGAUUUGUGGGAUCGAUGGUCCUUUUACAGUGUAGAAAUAGCGUUGAGCGUAAGUGGUAUUUAUAGCUGAACAUGAAGGUUUAUCUUAGACUUCUUAGUCAAAAAAAGAACUUUUCAUGUUCUAAAAGGAAAGAUAGGUGGUCACAAUUAAUCCUAACAUUUCGCAAUUAAUCCUAACAUUACAACAAUAUUUCAGCAUAAUAUAUAGUUAAGUUAAAGUCUGUUUUGGAUUGAUUUUUUGCAAUGCAUACCUUUAUGUUAACAAACAUAAUUGUCAAUUUAACCAUUUCACUGGGUGGAAAUUUUACCAAAAAUUUUCAGAGGUCUUGUGUUAUACAUGGUUAAAAUUGCAAGUCAGUCGGACAACUAAAAAGCCUUGUAAUAAGGCUCAAAAGCUAUUAUGCGCGAUUUAUAUUUAUUUUCUAUCUAAUUUAGAAUUUUUUUUCCUAUUUGAUUUAAAUUUUUUUUUUAUUUUUUAAAAAUUGUUUAGGAUAUUUUGUACCUAUUAUAAAUAAAGUUAUUUAAUUUGUAUUUAAGUUUUUUUACGGACUUUGAUUUUAGAAUAAUAUUUGUAAGUGAGGAAAACUCAAAACUUUUUGGUUCUUGAAAGAAUUUAUAUUGAAUUAUUGAAUAAUAACUAUUUUUGUGGAGUUUUUCUUAUGUUUUUUUUUAUUUGCUAAUUAUUGGGUGAGGAUUUAAAUUCUAAUAAUUAAAAGUAAUCGUUGCGCCACGCGAGAAUUAAAUAGGUUCUUCCUUUUAAACUUCAAUCCGAGAAACCAAAACCAGAAUAUUUUAUUAUUAAGAAAAACCUUCUCUUCAAUACAAUACCCAACACUAGUGAUCAAAUGAUCAGAACCCCCGCUAGGAGAUAAUUAUUACAAAGCAGAAUCCAACACCUUCAAGUGAAGUACAAGAAAAUACUUAAGAAACUAUCUUGACAUACUUGUAUAGUACUUGCUUGUUCUUCUGCAGCCUUUAAUUAUUACAAUGUAUAGGAAUUUUCAGGUUCAGGCAUCAGGAUUUGCCAAGAAGUAAGCUUCGACGGCCUUGAACAGUCCUUCGGUCUUCUUGCCAUCCUUCUUGAUUUGAUCCUCCUUGAUCUCAGCACCAUCCUUUAUAUAGUACUUGCUUGUUCUUUUGCAGAUGGAUCCUCCCUCAGGAGUGGGCACAAACUUAUGUUCGAAAAGGACUUUCUCAACUCCCUCCAUCCAAACGUUAGAUUCAAUCAAACUGAAGCUGUAUGCGAAAUUCUCUUCAUCAAUUGUUUCAAUCUUCUGCUUCACGUAGGUGAGUCCUUUGCCUGCAAGUGAAAUCUACAGCGUUAUUUCUUUGUGCAACACAUAUAGCUAGCUAGUGAUACACUAAUUUCAAGGCCACCCUUUAGUUUGUUCUUCUUGUGUGUAUGUGUGUGUGUAUAUAUAUUAGUUACAGCAAGCAGCUAAGAGAUGAUAGAAUUAGUAACUUACCUUCAACAAAAGUGACCUUUCUUAUUGUUCCUGGCCCUCCAUUUCCUUCAAUUAUCUCAGAGCUUUUAAUUGAUUGUGGUAGAAUUUUAGGUAUAAGAGUAUCAGUCUCAAGGCAAUAGACCUUGAAGAGCUUGGCAGGAGGGACAGCGACAGAAAACUCAUUUUCAAAAGUGAUGAGACCCAUGAUAACCAAAUAUUAGUUACAAAGAUUACAGAAGAGAGAAAUUAGAGGGGGAAUUUGAAGCUAUGAAGGAUGGUUCUGGGGUGAAGAAAUGUGAGAAUUGGAGGAGGAAUUUAUAGGGUAAGUGUAUGAACGUCUCAUCUGGAUCAAAGUCCCUGUCCCCUUCAUCGUUCUUAUUUUUUGUAGAAUUAUUGUUUUGGUCAAUAUAAGCAGCUUUGAAACUAGAGAAAUUAUAAAAUUCU
rnacentral:lncRNA from 1 species